rnacentral:lncRNA from 1 species
UUGUGCACUGGUCUUGUCAAAACGUGAGUGUGUAUUAGAGGUUGUGUAAAGAGACAGCCAACCAUUGGCAAUGCGAGGAGGGUCAUUUGGAUCAUUCGGGUCAGUAGGAGGGAAAACCGAGGUAGCUAAUUCAAGUGGAAAAUCAAAAUCGUUAGCCCAUUCGUACAACUGCAUAGUCCCUCGCCAUGCUACAACAAUGUCUCUUCUCCCUAACAACUCCUUGCCUUCGUCUGUAGACACCGCAGUGUAACCUAACCAGUUAGAAUCUUUGUUCCAUGCUUCCCUUGACAAUGAGUUGAUUAAGAAACAUUCCGGUAACCUUAUCGACGAUGUUCCAUAUAUGUACUUAGUCACCUCGUACCUGGAGAUACCAUUUUCUCACAUGUUUUAUAUAGUGGUGGGCACAGAAACUAAACCAAAAUUUCUCAAACUAAAACCAUAUUAUCAAAGCCUGUCAUAAGCAUAACAAAAUGAAACAUUAGUUUUUGAACAUCAUUAACGGGGAGUAUUAUAUAAUCAGGGCCGACUUAGUAGGAAUUAAGGGCGUAGAGUGCAACCAUCCUAGGAUCCACUCCAAAUCUAGUAAUAUUUGGGGUCUUGAUUCUUUACAUUAGCAUGUUUUGUAUAUAUUUGGAGAAUAUUAAAACAUGACAUUAUUAAUUGUAAGUUGAAAUAUCAAAUAGAAAUGUGUUUUUUACAGAUGCUUGAGUCAAAAAUCUCAAAAAACAUAAAUUAAAAACUAACUAUAGGGCUCUGAAAUAUUUUUUUUCCGAGGGAAGUGGAACUAUUGAGCCGGCCCUGCAUAUAAGUAGAUAUAUCGGCUACCUGAAAGGGUUGGCUUUGAGGUAGCCGGUACGAGCAAAGAGCUCUUCCUUAGUGUAGCAGCUGUCUCCUACAUAUUUGGACCGGCGGUCACUAUUAAAGGUAACGUAUCCGACCUCAGCCAUGUCUCCAUAGUGGAGGAUGUAACGGCGUAGAUCCAAGUCAAGAGGAUCAAGUAGGUCUUUCCAUUUGCUAUUGCCGCUCAAUUCCUUCCAUCUCUUAGCAAUAUCUCCCACCAUUUUCACUUUUAUUUUGAUCCAAACCGAACGUCCUCCUCUUCCUUUCUGUUGCCUUGUAGAAUUUGUUGGUGUUUUCAAAAUGUUUGGAUAGUUUAUGCGUGAAGUAUUGGUCCUUAAUACAUGCUCUUCACAUAAGUUUUGCCGGCCUUUUGUUAAAGAUUUUAAAGUAUGGACGUUAUAAUAGGUUGGAUGAGAUAUUAAUAUACAAAUUUGUGGAGAAAUUAAGCCCAAAAUGUAAUUAGUAUAAAUAUUAAUUACACUUAAAGAUAAAAAUCUGAAUCACAAUCACAAGAACUCCACAAAUUAUUUAUUGAAUUGUAUAAAAAUCAAUAUGUAGAACGAGAACUAUGAAGUAAGAGAUGCGUAGAGAAGUAAGUUCCAAGUGUCAGGGAGACCAGGGAGACACCAAUGGCUACAGUCUAGACCCUUUGCGAUACCAUUAUAGAGACUUGGGUGUGCGUCUUUGCGAUACUCCGAGAGAGUUGUGAGAUCAAGAAGACGGACCGGUUUCUUGAUUCGGCUCAACACUUUGUUCACCACAACCCAACCUAAGGGCAAUCCUCCUGGAUAUCUUUCUCCCAUGAACGGCUGAGUCUGGCCCUUGCACGACUGCGAUGGUUCGUUCCACUGCCUUCCACUGUUUUGAAACACAGUUAGUAUUUUGAAUUUAUGCUUUAAAAGUCAUCAGCUAUCAUUGCAAAACAUUUUUAUUAUUUUGAGUCUCAUCUAUGUAAGGUACCGUUAAUUUUAGAUGGAUGGAGAGAGAAAAGAAAACUUACUCGUAGUGAACAGGAGAAACACCUUGAAAGAAGACUUGAGUGCGUGAAGGGUUAAUGUUACCGUUAAUCCAUCGAGCCCAUGUGUUUAGUCCUUUGUAAAAAGCCACAAGCCUGUUCAUGUCUUUGUACAAGGUGUUUCCUUCCCUCAUAUAAUCCCACCUACCAACCAUUAUUGUACAUUUAACUAAUUAUAACAAGCAUCUUAUAAAACACUUGAAGAAUAUUGUCAAAAGAGAAAGAAAGAGAGAGGUUUUAAAGGGUCAAGUAAUGUGAACGUACGGCUGGAUUCCGUCAGUGUGAGUCCACCAGUGCCAUGAGUUAAAGAUCAGAACGUCCAUGCCAAGCCAAGCAUUGGCUUGUUUCAUGGAGUCAAGUACAAGCACUCGUCCUGCCUUUUCUUGAACCACAUCUACUAGAAACUGUGUUCUGUACAGAAGUAUUGUCACUCCAUAAUCCUGCCCAUUUUUUUCGUUUAAUCAGUUAGCGAUAAUACAAGACUGUUAGUAUUUGUAACAUCAAAUGAAGCUAUUAAUUUGUUCUAUGUUAAAAAGAUAUGGAAUUCUUGGACACUUGAUUUUAUCUACUUGUUAAAAGAUGUCAUUAUGUCAAAGAUCAAAUUUAUGUAACCGUUAUUAGUUUUACGCAAAUUGACCACCUGUAUACAUAUUUUCUUUGUAGAGACCAUUAUGCAGACGUAUGUUAGCUUAACUCUUUCUAUACCAUCAUUUAAAUUAAAUAUAGGUUUAUUUAAAUUAGGUAGCCAAACAAUCACUACUAUCAUGGGUUUUCUACCUUGCAAGAGCAUGUCAAACACGUAUAUAUUCAAAUAUUUGAGCGAGGCAUUCGUAGAAAAAAAAAGAUAGAACUUCGUAUUUGUAUCCUAACAUUGAUACUGAAAAAUGAAGAAAUACUACCAAUCAAAUUAUGUAAAAUUGAAAUAUCACUUCUUAAACAUGUAUAUUCUUAUAUUUUCUUGAAGUAAAAGAGAGAAAGACACGUAAACCUAAUGAAGAACUUCAGAAGAAGCUAGAGAUCGAAGUCAGACCCAACGCAGACAGACUUGUCACUGUUAGCUACUGUGUAGUCGUGUAGACAUGUAUAUGGAGAGAUCCCAAAAAACAAUUAAUAGUGCGUAAAAGUAAUUAAUUAAAUUCGUGAAGGCCCACUUACUAAUUUAUUAUACACUGUGUGAUUAGAAAACGACAAUGAAGAAAGAAGACUUUGACCUAAAGUGGUUAUCAAAAUCAUAUUGUACAUGGUGUCUUAAUGAAACAAUCUGUCGUUUGUGUUUGGUUCUACAUCUAUUAGAUGUUUCUUUAAAGAUUGGUUAAUAACUACGUACGACUUAUGUCAGAAUGGUCCAUAUUUCAAUUCUCGUAACCUAUACUUGUCUUGACCACAAAUAUAUUAUCCUUACAAUUUGCAAGAAUAAUGAAACUAUACAGGAUUAUCUUAAGCAACCAAUUGCUUAAAAAUAAAAGAUGAGAGUUUGAGAAGAUAUAUUAUAGAUGGUGACGAUGCAAAAAAAAAAAAAAAAAAAAAAAAAAAAAAAAAAAAAAACAUUAAUGUAAAAUAUGUCAUUAAUUAAUCUCUUUAUUUCCAAAUUUUUAGUAUUACAUGACAAGUGUCUGUCGAAUCCCAAACUUAAAGGAAACUAAUAUAGUUACGUAACUGAUCUCAUUUGACAUCGCACUAUAUAUCAUGCACGACUUGUUCUUUUUUUUUUCUUUCACGUUCACGUUCUCGGAAAUAACUGAAUGUCGAGAAAAUUAAUAUUUACAGGUUUCAUAUUGGAGUUUAAUCACCAAAAUCAUUUGUGGACAAUUUAAAUAAUUAUCCCAAUAAUUAGGUCUUACAAAACAAAGUAUCUCCAAAUGUUAGCAAAAAAAAAAACAAAGUAUCAAUGUCUGAUAGUUAUUAUUUUUUGGGAAUAUAUAUCAACUGUAGAAAAGUUUAGUCAAGUUGGUAUAUGGUUUACUACUUUUCUAUGUGUUUCGUUGGUACUGAAUUGAUGUUUAAGAUUAAUCGAUGAACAUUUCCAUAAAAGUACAAUUUUAAGUUUUUAACCUAAAAAUUAAUGAAUAAUUUAGAUUAAUAUAAUCAAUUAUAAGAUAUUCUGCACAGUAUUAAAAAAAAAACUCCUCCCUAAAAUAUCAGAUGAGACUUCAGAACUCAAAAUAACCCUUUCUAUCAUUGACUUUAGUCAAUAAUUUUAUGUAAAAAAUAACUAUGCAUUGUUGUCAUCAAUUCACUUAUAGAAAAGUAACAAAUAUUUCUGACUAGGUUGAGGGUAAAACACCAGAAAAUUAAAGCAGGACAUUUGUCGAUGACUGUUAUAUCAACAACUAUUUUCCUACAAAUGAAUAAUUUAAGUAGGGUUAUACUUUCUAGUGGUGUUAGGUGUACAUGAUAAAGCUAAGGAUCUUUUGUAAAUCAAGAAAGAAUGACCAAAAAUAUCAAAGAAUCUUCAGUAGCUCAAUAAAACGUUUACUUUAAAGUGAAGUUAUUGAGAUGUGAAUAGGUAACAAAAUAAGAGAAUAAGAAAACGAAUAAAUAAAUCAAAACCUGGAAAGUGAGUGAAGUGAGAGGCUGGCUUCGACUGAGAGAGUACUUAGCAUUAGGAAGAGAUGCAUGAAUCAAACAUGCCAACGAUUCAAACAUGUUGAGACUCAGUGAGUCACCAACCAUCAUUAUCUUCUUCCCUCUCAUUCUCCUCAUAAAGUUCACCCCAUCGAAUCUGUAAAUUCAUUUGAUUCCUAAUGUAUUUGUUAAUUUCUCAAGAUAAACUAGUGUCGUAUAAACUUUAAAAAUACAUUUUGCUUAGGAAAAUACAAGAUAUUAUAGUUUUCUGUAUAUCAAUUUUCACUAUACUUAGUCAAAACAAAACAAAAUUUUCACUAUACACAUAUUUUGUAGCUACUACUAAUUUCACAUAAGAAACUUUUUGGGACAUGAUAGACUUAUUUUAUGCAACAUGAGUUUUUUUUUCCUUUUCAAAUGAAUACAUACUCUUUGCCUCUUAAACAAAACUUGUUAAUUUGUCAAUUGUGAAACACCAGUAAACGUUUGUGUUUACAUAUUGCAAAAGUAUUUUAUAGAACAAAACAAAAAGAAGUUUUAUAUUUUAAAAGCAAACACAAAAGCUAGCCUUUUAACACAUGUGAAACUACUGUACCUGGGAAGAGAACAUGAGAAAGGUUGCCAUCGGAAGUGUUGAUAGUUAGUGUCUGGUCGACCCGUUUUCUGGCAAUUGAAUUCAGGGUUGAUGAAGGGACAAGAAAAAGGACUAUAGAGAGGAUAUGAAGAAUCAUAGACCCAUUUGCCUCUAAACCAAUUGCAUGAUCUCUCUUCUCCCAAUAAGCUUGUGUUGUUUUGUCCCAAAAAAUGUUGUUGAGAUUGUGAUAAUAGCUCAGGGAGUGAAGAGAGGAGUAUGAGAAACAGAGAGGCUAAGAUGGGUUGGAAGCAGAGUCCCAUUCUCUUUUGCGGUCGCCAAGAAAGAAUGAGCAACUUAUUCUUCAAGCCUCAAGCUUUAUAUAGAUAAAAUAAAAGUAUUUAUCUCUACAAUUAUUUUCUUGUUUACCUUUCUUGUUUAAUUUUGUGUACAUAAACAUAUAUAUUUCAGUCGUAGACAAUCAUUAGGCUUAAGAUAUACUUUAAGACCUAAUAAAGAUCGCUUGAAAUUAAAUCCAACCAGUAUAGAAGCUGAACCAGACUUUUUGUAAAGCCAGUAGUCAACAUAUGACAAACAGAAUUAAACCAAAUCGCAUUUUCUCAGACGAUAGUUUUGACAAUAAUUAAAUUAUAAUUAAAAUAAUAAAUUUAAAUAGAAUAAUAGUAAACACUAACGCCUGAAAAGUAAUAUAUAUUUAGCAAGUAUAAAAAUAUUUUUUAGCAAGAAAACAAGUAUAAAAUAGUCAAAAAUAAUAAAAGUUUUAAAAUAAUAAAAAUAAGAACACCAUANNNNNNNNNNNNNNNNNNNNNNNNNNNNNNNNNNNNNNNNNNNNNNNNNNNNNNNNNNNNNNNNNNNNAAGAACACCAUAAUUGAUAAGAAACACGUAAAUGUUUUUACUAUAAAAAUAAUAUUUUUUAGAAUUUAAUUUUAUAUUAUACCAAUAAUAAAAAAACAUUAAUGCAUAACAAAUUACUCAAAUAAUUUAAAACUGUAGUUUUUAUUUGAAAUACUCAUCUCAUUUUUAGUUUUCUUAAUAAUGAGAACUUUAUUGAGAAAGGUUAAUGCGGAUGCUCUUAUUGUCACCAGACUCACUACAGAGACCCGUAUCGGUUGUUGGAAAAAGUUUAGUUUUCUAUCGAGGGAUUCGUUAUUUCACAUCAAUCAUGUUUCACAUUUUCUUAAACGUUUAAAAAUCUAUUUAACGGUAUAUAUUUAAUCUGCGCAGCCAUUGGUGAACAUGCAUGUUGUUGAAAAUGAAAAGACAAGGAUGAUGUAUAUAUGUAGUUGCAAUUGCACAUGCUAUGAUGGGUUUUAGGGUGCCUUGCUUUGCCAACUCGACCACCACUUACUCUCAAAACUUAAUCAACUUUUCAUAUUUAUUUCUUUAUAACUAAGCUUUAUUUAUCUGAUGAUUUACGUAAUUCAUUGGAGCUAACUGUUUCAAUUUUUGACUAGUUAUACAAAUAAAAGUAGAAAUAAAGGAACAAACAUGCCUAUUUUUGUAAGCAUCAAUUCCAUAAUGACUCACCUAAACUAAUUCAAAGUGUUAAUGAUUAUACCUUCAUUAGCAAGCUGUGAUUAACACAAGAAACUCCCAAAAAAAGCAAUUAUUCAUUCAUCAACAAGUUCAAUAAUUACUUCAACCGCCAAGUUAUUAGUUUUCAUAAAUAUUAAAAAAAAAUGCUUCUGUUUCUUGCCAACCUAUAAAAAACAAGAUACCCAAUAUGUAAAUAAAUAAUACAUUAGCACAACAAGUCUAGGCUGACGAUACUUUUAGGAGCUUGCCGGAUUCUGAACUCUUACAAAAUAAUUUAAGAAAGUGACUAUAGUUUCCUGUUUGAGGAGAUAUACGGCUGAGAUUGUCCCAAACAUUUUGGAUUACAAUUAAAAAAACAUCAAAAUAAAAUUUUAGGAAAUGAAGUGGAGUGGUCCUUCUUAUGGAACAAAUUGGAAAUAUAAAAUAGACCAAACAAGCAAACAAUUAUUACACAACCACCAUGGGAAAGAAUUUCUCCCACAAACAUGUGUACUUGAAAUCAUACAAAGUUUUGUCCAAAGAAAAAAAAAAUCAUACAAAGUUAAAAACAUCUUAUGUAGAUAAGAGCCCUAUUGAUUAUGUAACCAGAGGAAGCUUUUAGGCUCAUGCUUCUUAUGUUUGCUUACACAUUCUUUAAUUAUAAAGAGAGUUCCUCCUACAAACAUUUGCACUUGAAAUCAUACACAGAAAGUUAAUAACAAUCUUAUAAAGAUAAGAGCCUUUUUUUUUUUUUUUUUUUGUCACAGAAAGAUAAGAGCCUUAUUCAUUAUGAAACCAGAGGAAGCUUUUAAGUUGCUUCUUAUGUUUUACUUAUGUACAUUCUUUAUUUACAAAGAGAUGGUGCUUAAUUACGUAUAUUAUAUGUGUAACAUUUUAUAGAAGCUCCCAUUCAGAUUCUUCUGCUGAUUGGUUUUCCUCAAUCCGUUCCGGAUUGUCACCACAUUCUCUACCAUUUACAACAUCUUCAGCGUAGCAUUGUUGCGCAAGUCGCUUGUAUUCUUUUUCUCUGUUUUGCUUCAUUCUUGAAAAUAUAGCGUCUCGGAUCUUCUGUAGGACCAGUUUGUCAUAAGGGUGUUGUUAAUUUCAGCAUAGUGAUAAAUGCAAAUAAGAAACAAAGAAAAGGGAGUGAAAGAGACAAAGAACCUUGUAAGGUUUGUGUUUGUCAUUCUCCUUCCUGUCAGGAAAAACACAAUGCAAUUCGUCUCUAUCCACAAUGAUACAGCUUUCUUCAACUGAUCUUCCACUAAGCUGUUCUGGGACAGAACUCGAACUAGUUUGCAUCGAAUCCUCCUCUUUAGAGUUGAGUGUUGCUACUUCACCUCGAGGAGAAUCACUUGACUUUACAGUUCCAACAUCAUUUCUGAGACGAGUAUUAUGAACCGUUGAUGGACUAGUCGAGUCUGCAUCAAGACCACGCAAUUUCAUUUCACAUCCACUCUUUUCCCCCUCAGUUACCUCUUGUUCUUGCUUCACAUCUCUGUUUUUCCCGCUGAAGCUUUCUCUUUUCUUCUUGAAGGAACAAACAGGAGCGUAUUCAUGUAACAUAGAAACAGGUAAUGGCUUUUCCGAAACUACGGAGUCAUCUGGAAGCAGAUCUUGAACCACAUCCGAAUAGAAUUGCUUCAUAGAGUUUCCAACAGUUUGAACUUGGCUCUCAACGUAUUUAGCUGUGUCCUACAAAAAAACACAUCAAGAAGCAAAGCAAAGAGUUAAAGAAAAGAUAUACAAUUGCUUAUACAAUUAUAGAGCACUUUACCUGGACAAUAAGAUCUUCAAGCUCUAAGCACAUUGCUUCAAACCUUUGGUAGACGUUUUCAACCCAUGCUGUACCUUUAAAAUUCAUUGUUCUCUCAAUUCAAGAACGUUCUUGUUUGCUUUCUGUCCCAGGAAAGAGUUCCAACGAAAAGAAAAUUCAGAGAGACAACAAGAAAAAAAGAUCUUACCACAUCAAAUCUUUAGGUAGAGAAACAGGUUUGAAAGACAACAGAAACAUGUAUAUGUAAGAAUUAUAAAAUAUUCCUUUGGUACAUUAUCUCAGAAGAAGAGAACAAGGCUAAUGAAUGCAACUUGUAAGCAAAGCCUUCUCUGCAUAGGUGUUUCCAGUAAAUGAAUGAUUACCCCCAAAUCCUAGGAGCAUUUUAGAAGCUUUGUUCCUUGUUAAACAAAAGAUCUGUGUGGCUACAGAAACAAGCUAUCUUUCUGUAUCCACAUGUUCUUCUAUAUUUCACUAAUAAGUAAACAAAACCAUGUCUUUAAUCACCAGAAAUAGAAAGUUCAAACUUGUCAAUGAUCAUGUGGACAUAUAAGCUCAAGAGAGACUACUACUUUAUUUUUAUUUUUUAUCAGGAGCUUUCUUGUAAAACAGAAAAAUCUUUGUGACUGUAGAAACAAGCUAUCCCUCUGUACUGUAUCCACAUGUUUCCUUUAUUUAAUCACCGGAAAAUUUGUAAAAGCCAGAAAUAGAAAGUUCAACGCCAAAGUUACCAUGUGACAAAAUCUCAAGAGAGACUACUUUUUUUUUAUUCAGGAAACGUAAACUCAAGGUUAUCUAGAUCAUAAAACUAACACAGCUCAUUGCUUCAUAACGAUCAUCAACUAGGUCUUCAAUUAAUUAGCAAAAGAACUGAACAUGUAUACGGAAGAGUUAAGGUUGGAGCAAGAGAAGCAUACCUUCGUGAACUUGGCAACCUAAAACGUGUUAAAAAGAGAAAUUCGCGACGAAGAAGAAAUCACGUGAAGAAGAAGAAGAACACUAAAACCUGGAAUCAAUCAGAAACUGAAAACUAAACACAGAGAAGAAUAAUGUUAAGGAUAAGAGAGCGAGAGACGGAUCAUUAACCUCAAAGCUACGUAUACCUACAAGGGAUCAAAUCCAAUUCUGUUUUCUCACUCGAUUGAGAGAUUUUGUCAUAUUAUAGCGAUAACGCAAGCAAUGUCCAAAACUCAAAAACUUUUAUCACAGGAACUCCCGUUCCCGGUUUGGUUUUUUUUUUUGUUGGGCCCAGAGACUGCGUUGACAAUUAAUUAUUUUUACAAAAAUUAUAAGGGAAACAGUGAAACAUCUGUUUUUUUUUUCUAUCUCAACACUUGAGCACGCAGGUUGGGAUAGUAACCAGCAGAAAAGUUGGUUCAAAAAGAAAAAAAAAAACAGCAGAAAAGUAAGUGAAAAGUUUUCAACCUGAUUAGUUGAAUAUUGGCUGAAGCAAGAGUAAAUAUGUUUUCCACCAAAUAUAUAUCACCAUCCAUUUGUGACGUUCAAUCAAAGCCUUCCGGUUUGGGUGGGGAGGGGGUUUGGCCAACCCGGUUUAGGGAGUUUUUAGUUUCAGAAUUUCUAAACUAGAAAAGAUAUCUUUGAUUUAGGGGUGAAAAGUGGUUUAGAAAUAUAAAGAGGUUUCAGUUUAAGUGAAAUUCUUUUCUUUUCUUUUUUUUCUGACAGGCGACAAGUAUCAAAUAUCAUAUAGAUCAUGGCACUAAAUGAUGAAAUACAUAAAUUCGUUAGGGAUCCUAACCGGUUUGAUUAAUGGGCCGUCUUGCACAGAUCGUACUUCCUAGGGACUAAUUAAUAAUUUAGUAAAACAUAGCGCGAAUACCUGCAAUAGAUAAAAAAACCUAGGGAUCAUUUUGAAAUUAUUCUUUAAAAUAUUUUGGGUUCAGAUUUCGUUUCAACGCAUCCUAAAAAACUUUAUUUUUUUAUGAAAACGGCAGUCACAGCCUCGUAGGGUUAUUGCUGUUCGUCCUCCUCCUAUCGACUGCGGCGGCGACGAGGCCGAGAAAACCGACACUGCGGCGGAGAAGCCAUCUUUCAAAACCCUUACAUUUCAAUUUUGAUUUACCAAGUGUCGGUGAUGGCCUCAAUCUCGACAUGGUUCAGAUACAUGGCACACAAGCUCGAAUACUCCCUCACCCUCAGUCUCAAGGUUCCUCUCUCUCUCUCUCUCUCUCACUCAUUCUCUGCGUUUCACUUCCAAUUUUUGAUGAAAAAGGUAGAGACUUUUGAUUCUUGAAUGCCUCGUAUGGAUCCAAACCAAAGUUUACCUCUUUUGUCUGAAGCCGACAACUUUAACUCUCAAGACAAUACAAUAUAUGCUUCAUGUAGUGUUUUUUUUUUAACUCUUCCAAGUUACAUUUGCAGAGUCAUAGGAGAGAAAAACUGAGUGACAGAGAACUCAUUCAAAUCAUCUUCAAGAAUCUAUUCCAUGGGAAGAUAACCUACUUACACUCUGGCAAAGGAGUAGAGAUGUCCCCAACCAUGGCUGCACACGAGAACACUCUUCUUGUCCGUAAGAUACCAAUUGCUAACACCAGGUAAUGUAUGUUCGUUCAUACAUAACCUUUUUUCUUUGUGGCUCUUCAUCUAAUUACCAAUAUACACAGUCUCACUUGUACAAAGGUUUCUUCUUUACAAUUGAAUUUAUGUGCUUAGGUAUCUGUUCGUUGGAGAUGCUGUGGUCUUAAAGGACCCAAACGAUUCAGACAAGUAUCUGGUGAGAAGAUUAGCAGCUGUAGAAGGAUUCGAAAUGGUAUCAGGUGAUGCAAAGGAGGAACCUUUUGUCCUCGAGAAGGAUCAGUGUUGGGUAGUUGCUGAAAACAAGGAUAUCAAACCUAAGGUACUUACAUCACUUUCCUCUUUUCCAAAGCUAGCACCAAAGUAAAGUCUAUAUUCGUGUUGACUUGGGUGUGGGUUUUGAGCAGGAAGCAUACGAUAGUCGAACAUUUGGUCCAGUUUCAACUGCAGACAUUGUUGGAAGAGCUAUAUAUUGUCUGAGAACAGCUGUGGAUCAUGGUCCCGUUCGAAACAGGUAACGAAGAGACUUAAGUCUUUCUUGUCUCUUAAUAAACAUUUUAAUUAUAGCUUUUCUGGUUUGUUUACUCUUAAAAAAUGGUUUGAAUCAGUCACACUGCGAUGGGACAAGAUUCUCCAAUCCUGGCAGUAGAAUUGGACGUGGACGAGAUGGCUAAAAACCACAAGGCACAAUAAAGAGAGAGAGUGACACUUUCUUGUUUUUUCUUUUUUGUGUCAAAGCUUACAUUGCGUUAUUUGUUUGAGAUAUGAGUAAACGAAUAAACCAUACAAUGAUGAUGAUGAAUCAGAAAAUUUCACGUUCCAGAACAAUAUGUUACUUGUGGCACAUAUGUGGUAUCGUUCUAUGGAAAGAAAAAAAUUAUCAUCUGUUGUUUAAUUCUUGGGAAUAAAAAAGAUCUUUGCUUUUACACACAGCGUAAAAGUACAAGGCAUUGAAAUCUAAGUUGAAUUGUUAUGGAGAAGGCGAUUUUCUUCUCCCAAUCGCCCAAACAAUAAUUCUAAUCAACUUGUGAUCUCUUUGGUUAUGUUCACUGGAGAUGAUAUCCAUAUAAUUAUUGAAAAUUGUUUUUUCAACUUUUUUACGGUUAAAUCAAUAUAUUGAUUAUGUACUUCAAUAUAUAUAUAAAAAUUGAAAUGAAACCAUUUUAAUAUAACAAAGAGAAUUGGUGUUCAUAAUGCGACAAAAAAUUGAAAAUCACGAAAAAAAAUCAAUAGAUAUUUGAUAUUAUAUUUAAUAAAAACUUCUCAAAUAGAAAAUCUUGAAGAUAACCAAAAAAAAGAUAAGACUUAAGAGAGUCAUAUAAUUGGUUUCUAUAGUCAGCUCAGAAUCAUUCCUAGCUGAAUAUACAACCGGUUGACCACAAAUCAGAGACACUAUGUUGCGAGCCAAAUCUUAAUGUCCCCCGCUUGGGUCACAAGCUCUUGCUACGAAGCUCGACACCUAAAGUACGUUUCUUUGCUCUAUGCCAACAAUUGAAGAACCGCCGAUGUAGGAGGAAAUAAAGUUUAUGAACUACUUUUUUUAUAUGGGCUGAAUCCUCAUUUUAAGGCCCAAAUUUAGAAAAUAAUAAGUAAUAGAGGCCCAUGAGACUAAAAAGAGCUGUAAACAUCGCCGAGGAAGAGAUUUCAGAAAAGCAAAUGCAACAGGAAGAAGAAGAAGAAGAAGAAGAAGAAGCUAAACCUCUCUCUUUCUCUGUUCAUGGCGCUUUCAUCAGGAACUUUGCAGAUUACUUCUAAUUACAUUCCUGGUAUGUUCAGAUACUUCUCUCUUUGUCGAAGUUGCGUUAUAAGUAUAUCUUUGCUCUUCUUCUUCGUCUUUCUCGGAUAGUUUUGUUUCGUAAGUGGGUUUAUGCUUAUUUCACCGGAACUAGAAUCGUUCUGGAGAAAAGUUCUGUUCUUGGAAUUAAAAUUCGAAUAGUUGUUUCUGGAUAAGCUUUUUUUUUAUGUCGACCACUUGUUCGAUGAAAUGACUGUGUGAUAUUGCAUUUGUUAUCAAGUUCAGUUCAGAAAUAAAGAAGUAUUGCGUUUCUUUAUAGAGUUCUCUGAUGAAUCAAUGUGUUGUUGUAAAAAUAAUGGAUUAUACUCUCCUUACUUUGUAUAUUGUUGGCUUUUGGUAAACACAGGUUAUGGAGUUUCAGACAGCAGGAGCUUCUCUAACUCUGUUGUGUCUAGAAGAGCACUUGCUGUAUCACCUUUCUCUUCCUGUCUUGUUCACAUCCAGAAUGGACGAUAUGCCCCUAAGAUGAUUUCAUUUGUGUGCCGAGCAAGUUCUUCUGGCCAUAGGAGAAACAAUCCUGAUUUCUCAAGAAACAAUAGGAAUGGUUUCAGAGGUAAUAGGAACAGGCGGAACGAAGAUAGAGACGGUUUAGACGGUGGUGGUGGUCUUGAAGACUCUGAGAUGUUGUCUUCCAGGAACGGUCCUGUGUUCUCUCUGUCCAGUUCCCCGAAGUUCCAGGCUACUUCAUCACCUGGACCAAGAGAGAAAGAGAUAGUGGAUCUUUUCAGGAAAGUCCAAGCUCAGCUCCGAGCUCGAGCUGCUGCUAAGAAAGAAGAUAAGAAGACUGAAGAGGCUUCUAAAGGGCAAGGAGGAAAAGAGACUGAGACUGUGGACUCUCUUCUUAAGUUACUGAGGAAGCACUCAGGAGAACAGAGCAAGAAGAACGUUAGCAACUUUGAUUCUGAAAAGCAGCUACAAGUAGAUGAUGAUGAUGAUGAUGAUGCUGAAAGACAGGUUCACAGUUCCAAUAAUUUUGAUUCGCGAAACAGGGAUCAUAAUGCAACACGUUUUACCAGGCCAGCCUCAAGCUUCAGACGCAAUUCGCCUGUACCCAGACAUAAACCUCAGUCCAGUUACUCUAGUGAGGCCAUUUUUGAUGAGGCGUCAAGUUACAGUGUGACUUGGACUCAGAAAAAGGAUCAAGUAGUAGAACCUGAGCCUGAAUAUGAACCAGGACUUGCCCUUCUGGAAUCAGAGCCAGAGCUAAAACCAGAGUCAUUUUACGAUGAGGAGGAUGAAGAUCACGAUGUCCUUGUAGAUGAAUUAUCAAAUGAUGAUGAUGAGUCUGUCAAUGCCGAGGAAGAAACUGAGAAAAAUGAAGACUUGAGUGCACUGAAGUUGAUAGAACUCAGAGCUAUAGCAAAAUCAAGGGGUCUUAAAGGGAUUUCAAAGAUGAAGAAAGCGGAGCUGUUGAAUUUGCUGUGUAGUAAUAAAGCAUGAUGAUAGCUAUGAACAAGAACAUUGUUUUAGUUUCUGAUACAGCCAAUGAAUCUCCAAAUAUUUGUUUCAUUCAUAAUUUUAGUGCAUUCUGAUUAAAAUUAGUUUUUUUCUCUAUUAGUUAAAGAGUUUUCCCUUUGGCUUCCAACAGCAAAGUUGUAAUGUCCUUUGCGAGUUAUGAAAUUGAAGUCACUUUCUUCAGUAUACAACACUGCUGUAUACUGGGAAAAUGAAACUAGGUAUGCAGACAAGUAUGCUGGAUUCAAACUAGAUAUGAAGACAAGAGAUGGUUUUGUGUGCGAUUCACACUUAUGGGUGUGGUUCUUCAAAAGAAGAUUUCAUAGUUAAUGUCUCUGUUUCCUUGUUCAAAUUGGAGCUUAAACUUUCUUGGCAAACAGAUGACCACUUUCGACCGUCUUUGAAGUGUGGGCAUCAGUGUCCAGUCUGUUUUUUUUUUUAUACAAAUAUUUAGAACAUUGUAACAUCAAUAAAAUAAAUCAUAAACGGUUAAGCAAGGAACCAAGCAGACGAGAGUGCUGGUGGUCGAUACUCUUGGAUGUGAACGAUUCAAAUAAAGGAAGUGCAUAAAUCAAGUGUCCCAUUAUUCGGAGGGAAAGAAAACAAGUACAAGUACAAGUCUCUCAGAGACAUUCUCAAUGGCAUAAAUGAAAUAGCAUUAUUCUGAGGGAAACACAAAAGCAAGAAAGAAAAAAAAAGAAGCUCAAGUCUUUCAAAGACAUGAGAUGAGACUACGAUUUGAUUACUAAACCUAUAUAGCUUAUUCAAUUGCAAAUAUUAAGUGCCAUUAUUCUGAGUAAAGACAAAAAAAGAAAAAAAGAUUUUACAAAUAUUACAAUGUCAUGAGAGUUUCCACAUGAUUGGAAUAAGUAGAGGCGAUCCAGAGAGGUUUGUCCCCCCCCAAACCAUUCUGGCGCCUGUAUUGGUCAUCCACAACUCCAUCAACCACGCUUCUUCUAUAAUAUGGAAUGGAUUCGCCAAAGCUAUACAUACAUGAUACAUGGGAUGAGAACUGACUUGAUAUGCCUAAAUUGAACCCGAAAAAUAAGAGGAACUGACCCGAGUUAUACGAAUUUUACCCAAAAAUAUUUUUAAAAUACCCAGAACCAUUAAGACCCAAAAAUUUCGGUUUUUGAUGGGUAUUAGAAAAGAUGACCCAAACUUACACGGACUUGACAUGAUCUGACCCAAACCCAAACCAAAAAAAUUUAAGUAUUUAGUUUAAAUAUUUAAGAACGGAUGGAACAGGACCCAACAAGAUCCGACUUGAGGACCCGAAUGUCCGUGAUGAGUUUAUAUAUUUUUUAGACAACAAAUGUAGAAUUGUGGUUUUGUUAGAAAUAUAUAAAAUCAAGGAAAUAAAAUAAAAUAUAUAGUUUAGAGUAAUGACUUGAUUUACUACAUAAUUGAUUCAGAUAUUUAACUUGGUUAACUUUGGUUUAUAUUUUUAUUAGAAUUUUUUUUGUUGAUUUGGUUCUAGAUACCCAAUUAUUUAUACCCAAUUAUUUUAUCAAUUUAAACCAUGGUUUGGAUUCAGAUAUUUAACUUGUUUAAAUUUUGUAUAUAAUUUUGUUAUAAUUUGGAUGAAGAAAACUCAUUAUACAUCAACUUAUUUAUACCCAAUUUUUUUUAUCAAUUAAAAUGGAUUGAGUUUAUCCUUCUUAACAUCAGAAAUUGUAUCUUUAGUUACAAAGGUAAAAAUGUCUUAAGUACCAACAAGAAAGACACCAAUCUUUAGGUAAAAAAAACAUAAGUUCUGACAGAUAUUGAUCAAUCUCGAGAUGACUCCUCACACACUCUUUAGGUGCACUUCUUUAUCCGCUUCAUGCGGAUUUCAUCCGAUGGUUUGACCAAAGAGACUGCCGAGCCGCGACAGACCCGGUCAGAGCGGUNNNNNNNNNNNNNNNNNNNNNNNNNNNNNNNNNNNNNNNNNNNNNNNNNNNNNNNCGGUUCUUGGAGAAUAUAAAUUUAACAUUUUAUUUGUCUUUCUUCAGGCCGGCUCUAUGCACAUUCACAAUUUUCAAAAUCAAAACUUAUCCAGAUUUUUUUUUUGUCAGCAUUUAUCCAGAUUUAAAACGUGAACUAGUAGUAGCUACUAACCUUAAUAAAUAAAAAAGACAAUGAUGAUGAUGUUGAAAUUUAUAUCGUUCCAAAUAACAAUCUCGGUGCGAUGCGUAAACGUUAAAUAUUAUCGCUUCGUUGUCAGCUACUCACGUUUUUAUCAUUCUAUUUAUUUUUGUUUAAAUUAUCAUUCUAGUUUGUUAAAUCGUAUUGUCUCAAUCCAAUGUCUUAUUAUACGAACCGAAUAGUGUGUGUAGUACGUUAAUGUUUUCGUGUGGGAUAUCCUCAGACUUAUGGCCUAUAUAAAAUAUAUUCAUUUUAAUAAAUUCGUUUAUGGACUUUUUUUGGUCAACUCGUUUGUAAACUAUUUAACAUUUAUAAAAAAAAUUUAAGAGUUAACUUACUGCCUUGGAUGAGUUAUAAAAGCACAUUCUUUGGUGAAGGGCUAAUUGGCAAUGGCCGCAGAUGCUUUGGACAUCUAUGUUUUGUCUAAAACAUUUUUAUCAAGCAAUCAUGUUUUAGUUUAAAAAAAUAAAACUACACCAAAAAAGUUAGAAAAAGAAAUAUAUGUUAACUCUUUUUUUUUCAAAACAGACUCAUAUUGAUUCUGUAAAUCAAAUCGAAUGUUCCACAUCUAUGUAAAUGACAAAAACGGUUGUUGUUUGGCACUGUGUACUAGACUGUCCGAUGUGUCUAGGGUACAUAAAUAAUUUCUGAAAUAUGUUAGCUCUUAAAAUCAAAGUUUCUACUGUUUUUAUUAAGUGCUUUAAAAAUAAAUCUAUAACCAAAAAAACUAAAGUCAAAACAAAACAUUCACAACCUAUUUUCUAAAGCAAAAAAUCUAAAAUUACAGCACCAACCAAUCAACCCCUAAAUAUUUUUUUUUGCUAAACAUGUAAAUAAUUCGUUGGUGAAUUACUCUUUUGAGUAUACAUAUUACUAUCUUAUAUUUAGUUUAGUUAUGUUAUAAAAAUUAUAAAACAAAAAUUAAAUUAUUUGUAAAAAUAUGUGUUUUAAAAAUAUUUUAUUGUAUUUUUUUAUAAAAAAAUCAUUUCUUUCUCUUUUUGUUAUUUUAUUUAUUUAGUUAUGAAAUACUCAUUGAAAUAAUUGUUGAGAUACCACUAAUGAAAAUACUGUACGUGGGAAAACAAUAUAUACAAAAUACAAGUUGCACAGCAUAUGAAACUACAACAGAUACACAACUAAAACAUUUAACACAUACGUAAUCUGUAAUAUUUUGCAUAUUUUGGACGUUCGACAUAUUUUAGAUGCAAAAUCUUUCCAAACAGUUUUACCUUAUUACCUUAACACUAAAGCUAAAAUUCUUUUGACAUAUAUAAAGUGUAAAGGGAAUUAAUAUGGAAAAAAUAACUGAAUGUGAGUAUGUGACUAUUACAAUCGACACAUUACUAUGUUUGUUUGACUUCGGUUAAUAUUUCUUUAAGAACCAAAUUAACAAAAUUGCAAAAACGAAAGAUAUCUCAACGACGAAUAUAGAGGAAAUAUUAAUUUGGUUUACAAAAAGACUCUUCCAAGUCUUAACGACAAAACAACACAAAAUCAAAAUCAGAACUCGGGUAUGUCCGAAAGUUCUUCAAUCCUACGACUACUAUUGAAAACCUCAAACCAAAACUCCAUAUCAUCAUUAUACAACUUCGAAUUAUUAUAACUAUAUAUUUUACUAUUGCUAUUUAGCAUUCCCUCCCAAUCAUCUAUCAUUUUCUCUUUACUAUUCUUAUUAUCUACCGAUACAACGUCAGACCAAAAACUAUCAUCAACCAAUGCAGAAAUAUCCUCGUACGACAUCAUAUCGUCCGCCUUGUUAUUAUUUGAAAUCUCUAAUGUUGUAAAUUGUUGCGUAGGAGUUGUGUCGACAAUCACAGAUUCUUUGUCUUCAUGUGCGGUCUCGUUAGUUCCGUUAAGGUUAUUGGUGACUCCGCCAUUGUUGUGGCCUUCGUUGAGUCUUUUCUUCAAAUGAGUGUGCCAAACAUUUUUAAUUUCAUUGUCGGUCCGUCCUGGCAAUUUUGCAGCAAUCGCAGACCAUCUAAAUAAUAACAAACAAACGAAACUAAACACUAUUAGGAAAAGUGUCUUACAUAUAAUAUAGUAUGGAUUUCAUCAAUUAUCACUUUAGUACUUUAAUAUUGCUUUUAAAAGCGGAAACAUGGAGAUAGAAGAAGACGACAAACCAAAAGCUAAUAUGUUUUGCAUCGAUCGAGGUGCAUAUUUUGUCUAAUAGUUAUAAUAUUGAAGGUUGUUUGGGGUUUAUUCAGUCACAUACUAUGAAAACAAAGUAACUAAAUCUUCUGAUACUGAGCAAAAAAUCACGGGUAUGAAUCUCUUCCUUAGCCCCCACAAUGUGAAAACUAAAAUAUUUUACAAAUAUUGCAAAUAACAAAAAUCGUUUAUAAGCUUAGACUAUGUUACAAUCUUAAUAAAAUUCUAGAUGAUGAAAAGCUUAGACUAAAGUCUACUUAUAGAGUAAUUUAACCAAAGAACAUUUGCAAAGUGGGAAAAGUAAAAGGAAAAUAAAAUCGUCGACCCAUAAACAUUUUUUGAUUUUGUAACCCUCUUUCAAGGAAUCGUUAACAGGUUGAUAAUUACUCUUCUGUAAGCAAACAAAGACAAACCUGUUGCCCAAUACUUCAUGUAGAUUGAUGAUAGUUUGUUCGUCUUGAGGAGUGAAAUUGCCACGUUUGAUGUCUGGUCUCAGAUAAUUGAUCCAACGAAGUCUGCAACUUUUCCCACAUCUAAGUAAACCUAAACAAAGUGUCCAAAAACACCAGAAGAGUAUUGCUUACAGAUCAAGAACACUAUUGAUAGAAAAUAAAUAUACAAAAUAAAUGAAAAUCACCUGCGUGUUUGGGAAGGGCUCGCCAGUUAGAAUGGCCAUAGAGAUUAAUAUAGUUAAUCAAGAUUUGAUCUUCUUCGGGAGUCCACGGUCCUCUCUUUACCCCCAUUUUCUCACAACAUGGUGCUCUUCCCAUUUUUUCCGUUGCUGUCUCGAGAAAAUAAAACUAAAAUUUACAAGUUUUCCUCUUCAAUCGAGUAAAAUGAUUAGAAGGCAAUGUGUUGGAUGGGUAUGGUGUUCUAUGAGAGCUAAAGAAGCCAAAUGUUAAUUUGAAGGGAAGAUGAGAUGGAGACGUCUAGAGUGAUUAUUAUAUAUAGAAAAAUUAUUAUUAUAUUGUGACAAACGACAUAUUAUUUUGAUAAUACAAUGCAACCGUGGGACAAUUCCAAGUUGAAAGUUACUCAUACUUUUGAUUCACACAGCCCCGAGUUUCCAACUAUUUAUUUUUCUUUUUCUGUUUGUAUGCAUUUAAUUACAUUUCGCAGCAGCAUGCAAAAUGUUUUUAACGUUGUAAAGAAUGUUUCUAAUUAGCAUUUUAAGCAAAAAUGAAUAACUUAUAUGAGUUUCAUAUUAUUAACUAAAAGAAAGCAUAUUGUGACGUUCUACUAUAUAUUCCCUAUGUAAUCGAUGUUAUAUUGUUCUGCUGCCAAUGCAGCCCUCAAAAUUUGCUUUUUAUGUUCAUACAAAAGAAGAAAUGAUAUUUAAGCAAAGGCACAUAAGAAAUAGCACUAGAAAAGGGUGGACAAAAUUUCCGAAACUCUAUUCGAGGUUCGUCCCGAUGUUUUUUGCGUAUCCGGAAGUUCAGCUUCAUAUUAAUACAUAUACAUCAAAUACAUCUUAAAAAUUCUGAACUAGAGUACUGCUAACCUACCAGUACUUAUAUUUAUUUUCUGAUGAUACGUUUUUUAAAAUCCUUACAGUUUAAAUACGUUCUGUAUGAUUUUAAAAAUAUUUCAUAUACAAAAAGUACAUAGACCUACUGUUUAUUGCUUAGUUAAUUAUAUUCAUGUAUGGGCUAUGAAACCUGUAUUAUUCACUACUAGCUCGGACAUAUCAUUUUUAUAUAUAAAUUUGAACGCAUAUUCUGUUCACACACGGAAAAGCUACUUUGAUGAGUCAAUUGUGAAAAAAUAACAUGACGUAAAAAGGCUUUAUGAAUAUUACUUACUAAAUAUUAACCCGCACAUAUAUUAACCCGCACAUCCGUGCGGAUAUAUUUAUAUUUUAAAAUUAACUUUUAAAAUACAAAAUAUAUUAUAAAGAUAUAUAUUUAAUAUCAAUUUUAUGUAUAUNNNNNNNNNNNNNNNNNNNNNNNNNNNNNNNNNNNNNNNNNNNNNNNNNNNNNNNNNNNNNNNNNNNNNNNNNNNNNNNNNNNNNNNNNNNNNNNNNNNNACUUUUAGCAAAAAAAAAAAAAAAAAAACUAAUGCAGGACGGCAGAAGUUUACAAUUUGUUAUUCUAUCGAACCAAUCCCAAAUCAAACGAAACGAACCAAACAAAACCAACUCCGGUUAAAACUAAAUUUAAUCAAACCAAACCGAAAUUGAAAUUGAUUUGGUCAUUAAAACUUGGCCUAAGCGCAAAAGACAAAACAGCAUUCUCUCUUUCGAUUCACGUCUCUGCGAGUGUCAUCGACCUCCUGAUCGGAUCGGAUCGCAUCGCAUCGCCGAUCUGGAGAUAUCGAUUUGAGAGUCCACAAAGGUUAGAGAUUUACAAAGAUCAUGGCAGUGGUGGAUGUUCACCGGUUCGCAGAGUCAAUCACUUGUCAUGCUUGGAGUCCUGAUCACUCCAGUAAUUUUCUUGACACAUGCUCUUGUCUUUUGUUUCUUUUGUCGGUGCCUCUUGUUCAAAGGAGGAAUCUUUGUUUAGAUCGCUUCAUAUAUAUAUAUAUAUAUUAUUAGUAGCUUAAUUUAAACAAAGAUAGCAGUCGAAGAUUGGUAGUUGAUGAGAUUUUCUAAAUAGAUGAACUCACUCACUCUCUUGUUACAAUGUCUUUUGUAACCAUUUAUGUAAAAAGUUGUUUCCUUUUAUUUUUCUUGUAGUGGUUGCGUUUUGUCCUAACAAUAAUGAAGUUCACAUCUAUAAAUCAGUACAAGACCAGUGGGAGAGGUUACAUGUCCUCGAAAAGGUGAAGCCUUUCUGAAACUAAUGAGCUAGCAUGCGCUCCUCUUUACAGCUUGAAUCUCCCUUACAAUCAGUUUUUUUGUUUUGUUUUGAAUCUGUUGCAGCAUGACCAAAUUGUUUCUGGAAUAGAUUGGAGCUCAAAGUCCAACAAAAUCGUCACUGUUUCCCAUGACAGGAACUCGUGAGUUGCCCAACCUUUUAUAUCCCUCCCUCAGAGGAAACUUUGUAUGAGAAACUGGGUUCACUGUUCUCAUUAUUCGUUAAAACUGUGUUUGAUAUUCCUCAAGGUACGUGUGGAGCCUGGAAGGAGGUGAGUGGGUACCGACUCUUGUUAUCCUUAGACUAAACCGUGCUGCACUUUGUGUCCAGUGGAGUCCAAAAGGUAAAUGUAUCAGAUCCAAAAGUUACUAGUUAUUUAGAUUCUUUGUCUAGGUAAAAUAUGUAAUCUACUUUUCCCUACAGAUCCAAAAGUUACUAGUUAUUUAGAUUCUUUGUCUAGGUAAAAUAUGUAAUCUACUUUUCCCUACAAAUGUCUGCAGCUUCUAAUCUGUUUUCCCAUUUUUUUUUUUAUUCAAUUUCCUUUAGAGAACAAGUUUGCUGUUGGAAGUGGUGCUAAAACUGUUUGCAUAUGCUAUUAUGAGCAAGAGAAUAACUGGUGAUUUUCUCUAAUAUUCUCAUUAUUAAUCGAUUUAUAUUUUUUUAAUUCGUGUUAAGUUUUGGCAUUUUGGUACCUGACAUUGCUUGGUUUUACUGUUCUCAGGUGGGUCAGUAAACUUAUCCGGAAACGGCAUGAAUCUUCAGUCACAAGUGUUGCUUGGCAUCCUAAUAAUGUGCGUGCAAUCAACACAACCUCGUGUACUUCAGUAGCUAAAAUAUUAAUUAGGCUGGCGACUGUAUCGAGUACAUACAUGGUGGCUAGAAUAGAAUAAUAAUCUCCACAGACUAGCUAAUCUUCUAACUCAUGGUCUGUUUUUGCAUUAGAUUCUUCUGGCAACGACAUCUACAGAUGGAAAAUGUCGGGUAUUUUCAACAUUCAUCAAAGGAGUAGACGUAAAGUAAGCUCAUGACUUGAACAUCUACUUGAAAACCAUUUUUGAGAAUGUAGGCCAGUUUCUUAUUUGUCUUCACUGACUGGGAUGAUACAGGGAUCCAAAAGCAGGCUCACCAGCAGAAUCUAAAUUUGGGGAGGUUUGUUUUCUUUGGCAGGCUUCCUUGUUUUUGUAAUAUACUAAUAAUGCUUAUGCCUUCUCUCCACCCUCUCAUCUAACACUGGGGAGGUUUUUUUUCGGCUGUGUCUGUUGUUGAAACAGCAAAUUCUACAGCUUGAUCUUUCAUACUCUUGGGCUUUUGGUGUGAAAUGGUCUCCAAGUGGAAACACCUUGGCUUAUGUAGGUCAGAAUAUCCUUAACACUUAGCCCAUUGCAAUCUACUGAAAUCAUACAAUGGAACUUAUCUUGGUUACAUAAUUGUUGUCUGUAUGUGUGAUCUUGUAUAGGUCAUAGCUCAAUGAUUUACUUUGUUGAUGACGUCGGUCCUUCUCCUUUAGCUCAAAGCGUUGCGUUUAGAGAUUUGCCUCUUCGUGAUGUGGGUCAGCAUCCACCUUUCUUUUAUAUUUUGAGAACCUGGUCUUCUCCUUGUGUUGUGUCCUGAACUGAUAUAUAUUGUAUGGAACUUUCUAUCUCAGGUCCUCUUUAUUUCGGAGAAAAUGGUGAUAGGCGUUGGUUAUGACACCAACCCAAUGGUGUUUGCUGCAGAUGAUACUGGCAUAUGGUGUGUAACUCUCAGAAUCCUCUUAUUAUAAGCUUAGAUCACGGGCCAGAUAACUACUUCUGAAAUGAUCCACUCACCGAUGAUUGCUUUGUUAUGAGCUUUUGGUUUUGGUCUGUAGGAGUUUUGUCAGAUACAUCGGAGAGAAGAAAGCGGUAUCCUCAGGUUCCAGUUAUAGUUCGCAGGUACAUACCAAAGUUCUAUUUCUUGCAAUAUGUCUGUGUUUUUAGCCUUACAGUAUAUAAUCUGAGUGAAGCUUUUAGCUUAUUCCUUAAUUUUCGUUAUGUUAUUAUGUUUACAGUUUUCGGAAGCAUUUACGAAGUUCUACGGUCAGUCAAAGGCUACAACAGCCAACGACGGUUCUGAAUCCUCUAAAUCACGUGGGGGCGUUCAUGAUAACUGCAUUAAGUAAGAAAAAAAAUGUGUCUUAAGCUAAUUUUGCUUUUACAAAAUCACUUUCAAGACACAGUCUGUCUCUUUUACUCUAUAGAGAUAUUGACCUGUAAAAUUACCUGAAACUUGCAGUUCCGUUGUUCCUCUUAGCAAAGCUGGGAGUCCUAAAGUAAUGCGAUUCAGCACUUCAGGUCAGUCACUAGUUCAGAAUUAACAUAUUCCUUCAUGGAAUCAUCCUAAUCAUUUGCUUGUAUAUUGGGUUUGUUAUAGGAUUGGAUGGCAAAAUAGCCAUAUGGGAUCUAGAGAACAUGCAAGAAGAGCUUGGCCAUCAGUUUUAAUAAACACAGAAAUAAAACAAAUCUGGAUCACAAGGUUUUUCUUAAUCUGUAUAUCAGAUUUCUUUUUUUCGUUCCCUGCCUUUUGUAACCCUUUUUCAGUUUCGUAAUUGUGUCACUUUGUAAACUACAAUAAGCCUUGCAGAGCUAUGUCCUUUGCCUCCGGAUCUUUGUUAUAUCUUCUUGAAUGCUACAUGAUUGAUCCAUUUUUAGUUUUAUAUAGCAUCUUAUAACGCCUUUUUCUGUUUAACUUGGCAUUACAUCUGCUGAUGGAUGACAGAUAACCAUUAUCCUUUGAUUUUUUCUCACUGAUUGCGAAAUUAACUACUGUCCUAAGCAUCUUCUAGAAGCAGAUAUACAGCUUGAAGAACAAUCGAUUAUGACUUGUCCACAACGUCGGUGCGUUGCAAUAUCAUAGUAAGUUGGUCAGGAGUUGGAAAACUUGACCACCGGUGUGUGCCUUUAAGAAACAGAUGUUGGCUACAUGUUCGAUGACCAUAGUAUACAUCGUGAAAUCGAAACUGGAAGCACUAAAUGGAACUACUAGUAUCCAUUAUCAUGGUGGUUUAACAAAUCUCUAAGGCAAGAACAGCAUCAAACGUCCUCCUUUCAUCCCAAGCUUUUCUGCGCAAGAGAAUAUCUGAUGCUGCAAGAGUUUCGACUUUUUCCUUUCCUUCUGGAACAGAAGAUUCUGACAAUGACUCACCUUGUGCAACUGAUCCAUUUAGUUUCAACCUCCUCUUAUCUUCAUUCACAGCUUCAAUGGGUUGCUAAGGAGAAAAAGAAAGAAAGAACGAACUUUGAUCAGAACAUAAGCUAUCAAUGUGACUAUUAACAAAGUGGUGAGAAGGAGUGGCAAACACUUGCCUUGUUCUGGUUCUCACUACAAGAAUCUUGAUACUUAGAAUGCAUACAACGAACAGAAACAGCUCUCUGUGCCUUCAAUCUCACAGAUGGAACCCGAUUCAAUGGUCCAAAAGAGCUUCUCGACCAAAUCUGAGGAUGAACCACAAACCCCUGAAGCCAUCAUGUCACUCGUGCUCCAGUCUUCCUCCUGUUGAUCAGGCGAAUGACGAAACCGAUAUGGAUUUUGCUCAGUUUUGUUCUGUUUCUCCUUUACCGCCGCUACAUUCUUCGUCAUCUGCCUCGCCUGUUCCUCUGGUUUAGUCGGUUUCCUAACAAGAGGCGUAUCUAAAGUCAAGGCUUUAGCUGCUGGCAAGAACCUUCCCAUCAUUAGAUCAUGUGUACUAGAACUCUUUGCAUCUGCCACAUGAUUAGCUCUAGUUUCAGAUUUCCUCAUUGCUUAUGCGUGCUCACAUGUCAUGAGUCCAUCCUCACGAACUAAACCAACUGAAGAUAUGUACACUAACUAGGAUUUAAUCCUAUAAUUAUUGAUGUUUUAUACACAAUUAUAUAAUUAUUUUUCGUUGAAUUUAUUGAUAUUUUGUUUUUAAGUUUUCUCUAUUUGUUUUAAAUAGAGGCGAGCAAAAUUUAUGUCGCAUCUUAUCUAGUCCUACUGAGAUAUAUUCUUGAUUUAUGGUUCAUGUAGUAAUACUUUUUUCGUAUGCUAUUUCAUGGUCUCACUUUAGAAUAAAUUGGAACGGGAUCUAAACAGAAUUUCAUGUGGGAUAAAAUUCAUGUACAGUAUAAUUUUUUGAUCUAUUUUUGAUUCUUCUUUGAUAAUAGAAGAUGACGAAAUGAAAAUGGGAAUUCCAAAAUCAGAUUUAUAUACUCUUGGAAAACCAAAGUGUUUAAAAAAAAUUUGAAAGAGGUAUAACAUUCUUUAACUGUACUAGCCAUGUACAUGUCAUCAUACAAUCUCUAUGUCAAUUCAUUUUUUCUAGUUUUUGCCAUUUCCAAGGCUAUUGGGAUCUACCACAUUAACACACGAGGCUCAAUAAUUAAAACUACAAACAUAACCCAAUAAGUUAAAAAUAGAAAAAUAUUCAUCUUAUCGGCUAUUAAAUCAAAGCUAAUUCUUUAUAUUAUGUUGCUUCUAGUUCUUUCCAAUAUGGCAUCAUCAUGAGUUCAUUUUCCCCUGCAUAUUUAGAUCACCAACAUUUCAUCUCCUUCUAGUAAUUAUUGUGUUCCACAUCUGCUUCUUCACAUUUUUUGUGGGCAUACAGUUCAUCAAUUGGAACUAAACAAUCAUUAGAUACAUUUGAUAAGAACUUGAAUCUUAUCUUCAACAUUUAAGCGUUUUCACCUAAAAUGGAAUAAGCUUCGUUUUAGACACUUGACUCCACUAUACUAAAAAAAACUCAAUAAGAAUAAAAUCGAGUACAAACCUCUCCAAGACGUAUAAAAAUCCAAUAAAACCACCGACCAAACUUAAUAGUACGACAUAUCAUGGUUAAUGUGGUAUUAUGAUAAGGUUUGGAGAUGCUAUAUAUCAAGAAGCUUAAAGGUAAGAGUAGUGGUGUUGAGUCUUACCAAUGGAAUGACAUGGAUGACGCAGAAUGAUGAAGGCACAUGAAGUUUUGUUGAAACAAAGUAAAGAGACUGGCUAAGAAGUUGACUGAAAACACGGAAAACAUUUGUAGAAGAUAACAAAGUACAUUGACUUAAAACAAAAGUAAGAUGUUUUAGAUUUUUUACUUAUUCCACAAAAAUAGAUUUUCUAUAUGUUAAAGGUACUUUUUUAUAUUUUUAAGAAACAUUAAAUGAAAAUAUUUGAAUUGAUUAAAUUUCAUUGGUGAAAAGUUAUUGGAAAAUGUAUAAUAAAAUAAAAUAAAAAUUAAAUUAUAAACAUUUAUUGAAUUCUUAAUAAGCGUGAAUACUUUAAAAAAUCUUACUUUCGGAGUAUAAUGUAGAAUCCUUGAUGGUGAGAUGCUCCAAACGCUUUGGAUUGAUCGAAAGAUGGCACACAUCAUCCUUUGGAUUCUUUCUAAGCAAUUAUGAUCGUAGCGUGAACAAGAUACAUAUAAUCAUGUAAUCGAUUUGCAAAACACAAAACUCUUUUAGACUAAAUAAAUUCAAAAUAGCUAGUGGUAUCUGCAAAGACAUGAUAUAACUGGUCCUCUUUUAAACAUUUCUAUAUAGAUUCAAGAAAGAGCGCCUCUCGACAAAAUUAUUUUUUUCGCAGGUGGGACAACUGAAGGGGCAGCAGCAUACAAAGUCAGUUGUAACAUUAUAUCAUAACAACCAUCUUCAAAACUGGUUUCAAUUUUAACAGUAUAAAUGAAAUUACAGUAAAAUAAGCAACUGUUUGGACAACAAAAUAAGUAGAAUCUAAGAUUGGUAGGAGCAUCAAUAAAUUUUUGCCUAUUCACUUGUAAAAUUUUAAGCUAUUUUACGAAAGGAUGAAGCUCAAAACCAGAAGCCACCAUCUUCCGGGCGAAUGAUGAAACCGAUAUGGAUUUUGCUCAGUUUUGUCCUUUACCACCACUACCUUCUUUGUCGCCUCCCCAGUUCCUCUGGUUUAGGUGGUUUCCUAGCAAGAAGUGUUUCUGAAGUCAAGGCAUUAGCUGCUGGCAAGAAUCUCCCUAUCAUCAGAUCCUGAGUUUGUCUAUCUCUUGUUAAGGUACCAAACGGCUCUACUAGUACCCCAUGACCACUGACCUUACUACAGUUGAAGAAGAAAGACUAAGAUCUUGAAAGCAUCUCAGCUGCAUCACAAUAAGUAUCAUCACUAUCAUCAUCAUCAUACCGAGUACUAUAGCUCUUUGCAUCCUCCACAUGAUUAGCUCUAGCUUCAGUUUCUCUACAAACUCUCCCAGGAGGAAGCUUUGGCUCAAUAUGUAUAGCUCAACAAAAGCUUGAACAUCCUGUUUCCUUUCGUCUUUAGGCUUUCCUAGUUUAUGUUCCCAUUGCAAAGGGGCAGUUCCUGGAUUCCUAACAGGACCUGACUUAAUAUCAGAUUUGGAAACCGGUGGAGAAGGAGGAGGGAUCUUGUUGGUUACUGAAUCAGAGGAUCUUCUUUUGAUCUUGGAUUCAGAAGCUUGUAUAGGCCUCUUCUAAUAGAUAGAAAAAGGCGAUUGAAUCAUUACAAAGACUUGCAGUAACUUGAAACUUCAUGUAAGUUUGCAGCAACCUCUUAAUCUAGAAGUUUCUUGUCAAGUAUCUAAGCCAUGAUUAAUAUAAAUUGUCAGAGAAGCAUCGAUUCUGCAACCCAAAAUCGUCAAGAAUAGAAGCUCAGUAAUGCAAAAUAUUUUAAGUACUAUUAUAUUUUGAGGUUGUUUUCUAUCGAUCGAGCACUGUUUUUAUAUCGGCUUUACAAGCUCCGAGAUAAACAAACUGCGACUGGUUAGAGACACCAGUUUACCAAGAUAUUUGAAAGUUAAAGUACAACGACUUGAAGAAAUGGAUCAAGAUAAAAUGGAUAAGAUGAAACGGACUAAGGGAUACUACUUGGUCUAAAACCAAAAAUAAAACAUAUAAAAGGAAACAAAAGAGUUCUCUUCUUCUUUAUCCCUCAAAACUUCACCAAGAGGUCUGUCUAAUCAAAUUAACAAUAAAAAAACAACAUUAGACAAUUUAGAGUUCAUCGUGAGACUCAUCCUCCUCCUCGGUCGCUCCUUCUCCACCCGCACCACCUGGUGCACCACCUGACCUCUGAUAAACGGCCGUGAUGAUUGGGUUACACACUGCCUCUACUUCCUUCAACUUCUCAUCAUACUCUUCCUUCUCUGAGUUUUGGUUCUCGUCAAGCCACUCCAAUGCUUCUUUGGUCGCUGCUUCAAUCUUCUCCUUCUCGUCACCCUCAAGUUUGUCCGCGAGCUUGUCCUUGUCGUUUAUUUGGUUCUUCAUGUUGUACACGUAUGUCUCGAGGCUGUUCCUGGCGUCGAUUCUCUCCUUCACCUUCUUGUCUUCCUCUGCAAACUCCUCUGCCUCCUUCACCAUCCGGUCAAUCUCUUCUUGGCUCAGACGUCCCUUCUCGUUUGUGAUUGUGAUCUUCUCUGAUUUACCACUUGCCUUGUCCUCUGCUUUCACGUUCAGGAUACCGUUGGCGUCCACUUCAAACGUGACCUCGAUUUGAGGUGUUCCUCUGCCAAAACAAAAGAGUGUUAUGAUUAUUCAUAUUAAUGAUUCUUAGUCCAAGAUUUGCAUAUCAUGAACAAACAAAGAUGAAGACAAACCUUGGGGCUGGUGGAAUUCCGGUAAGGUCGAAGUUCCCGAGCAGCCUGCAGUCCUUGGUGAGACUUCGCUCACCUUCAAAGACCUGAAUUGAGACAGUGGUCUGUUGGUCUUGGUAUGUCGUGAAAACCUGAGACUUCUUGGUUGGAAUAACUGUGUUUCUCGGGAUAAGUUUUGUCAUCACUCCUCCCACGGUCUCAAUACCCAAAGUGAGUGGUGCAACGUCAAGAAGAAGGAUAUCUUUGGUCUCGUCACCACCUUCUCCGCUAAGAAUACCACCCUGGACAGCCGCACCGUAAGCAACAGCUUCGUCGGGGUUCACACCCUUGUUGGGCUCUUUUCCUUCGAAGAAGUCCUUCAACAACUGCUGAACNNNNNNNNNNNNNNNNNNNNNNNNNNNNNNNNNNNNNNNNNNNNNNNNNUGCUGAACCUUUGGGAUUCUGGUACUUCCACCAACAAGGACAAUCUCAUCGAUCUGACUCUUCUGUAGACCAGCAUCAUCCAUGGCCUUCUUCACUGGUCCCAUGGUCUUCCUGAACAAGUCGUUGUUAAGCUCCUCAAAACGAGCUCUGGUGAGUGGCUCAGAGAAAUCAAGACCAUCAAAGAGAGACUCAAUCUCAACACGGACUUGGUGCUGGCUACUAAGAGCUCUCUUGGCCCUCUCACAUUCCCUGCGGAGCUUUCCAAGAGCCUUGUUGUCCUUGCUGAUGUCCUUUUGGUGCUUCUUCUUGAUCAACUUGAUAAAGUAAUCCAUGAUCCUGUGGUCAAAGUCCUCACCUGCGCAAGAAGAUCACAAACACAAAAGAGGGUUAGCAACAUCAUCGUAAUGAUACAGAACAUGAAUUUGUUAUGCAAGUAUAAGUUACCUCCCAAGUGAGUGUCACCAUUUGUGGAUAGAACCUCGAACACUCCGUUGUCAAUGGUCAAAACACUGACAUCAAAGGUACCACCACCAAGGUCAAAGACAAGGAUGUUCUUCUCACCACCCUUCUUGUCAAGACCGUAGGCAAUAGCAGCAGCAGUGGGUUCGUUGAUGAUUCUGGCAACAUUGAGACCAGCAAUAACACCAGCGUCCUUUGUAGCCUGCCUCUGGGCAUCGUUGAAGUAAGCUGCACACAAUCAAUACCAGAUAAAGAAUCAAUAAAACCGUAUAUAUAAACAGCAUAUGAUGAAGCGGAAUUGACAAUAAGCUAACCUGGAACAGUGACAACAGCGUCCUUGAUUUUCUUGCCAAGGUAAGCUUCAGCAGUCUCCUUCAUCUUAGUCAAGAUCAUGGCACUGACCUCCUCAGGAGAGAAAACCUUAGUCUCACCAUCCUUGAUCUUGACUUGAAUGUAUGGCUUGCCAUCCUUGUCCACAAUCUGGUAAGGAACAAGCUUCCUAUCCUUCUGAACCUCUUUGUCCGCGAAUCUGCCAUGACAAAAAACAAAGCAAGAAUUAAAGAAACAGUCAAAUACGCAAAACAAGACAAACAGAAACUUCCAGAAAGAGAAUGCACUUACUUUCGCCCGAUCAAUCUCUUGACAUCAAAAACAGUCCUCUCAGGAUUAACAGCCGCCUGAUUCUUAGCAGCCUCACCAAUAAGCCUCUCAUUGUCAGUGAAACCAACCCACGAAGGAGUGAUACGGUUUCCUUGGUCAUUGGCAAUGAUCUCAACAUGACCAUUCUUGUAAACACCAACACAAGAGUAGGUAGUACCAAGAUCUAUCCCUAUCACCGUUCCCAACUUGGUUGCCUCUUCUUUAGCAGUUGAAAACGCAAAUAAACAUCCUGAAACAUUACGUAUUUAUAUAUUCCAUCAGUCAAUAAUCAAAACACACAAAUCUCCCAAACCGUAACCUAAUUUUCACACCACAUUAUACAGCAAACGAAUCAUUAUGAACAAAUUAUCUUUAGAUCGUGAUCAUUAGAGUAUCGAUCUAACAUCUGAAGAUCGCAAAAAUGUAAUCCAUCAAAUCUCGCAAAUAAACAUUAACGAAACCAUAAACAACAUUAUCAAGUAAACGAAUCAUUAUCGAGCAAAUCGUGAUUGGAGUAUCGAUCUGAUAACGCAGAUCGCAAAACUGUAAAUGAUAUUCAAAUCUAAGAGAACAGAUCGAGAAGUAGAGAUCUGAGAGAUCACUCACCGAAGAAGAUGAUCGCGAGCACAACGGUGCCGUUUGCUCCGAACGAGCGAGCCAUAGCGAGUACUUUGUGUGUCUGUGUGUUUGAGCUCUCUUUAGAUCUCUCUCUUUUUUUUCCUUCUGCGCUUCUUUUUAUUUAAUUUUAAUUUUAGUUACUUCGCUGGGAGCAUUUUAUAUAGGGGUAGUCUCCGGAGGCGCUUUUUUUGGGAAGACCACGAAACGUAGACUUAUGUCAUCGACAACUACGUGGACCAAUGAGGUUGCUGCGAUCUGUCGCGCUAGCCAAUCAGAUCGGGUCUUGUGUUGGAGUAAUCUUGGCCGUUGGUUACUUUCUAGUAUUAUGUUUCUUUUUUUCGUUUGAGAGAAUGGGCUUUCUUUCCUUUUUGUUUAGGCCCAGUCUUGAUUCGAUUCUAUUUUGAGAAAUAUUUACAUGUUUAUGUUGUUCUGAUCAUCAUGAACUAAUUAAGGACCAAAACAUAUCAUUGAUCAUCAAUUUCACACAUUAAUUUUCUGGUAGUAUUUGAAUGCUGUGACAAUAAAUAGGCCAAAAUAGGAAGAGAUUGUACCAAAGAAAUGGAAAAAUGAGCCUGAUAUAGUAGAGGUGGAAUUGUGGAAAUCCAGAAAGGAAAUAAUUCAACUCAGAUUUGGGACCAAACUCGAAUCAGAUAAUAAUUCAACUUCUAACUUAUACUACUCCAUAAUUUGUUUUUGCACAAAAAUAAACCUACCUGGUUCCAUUAACUGGUGAUGACGUUAUUAGCAACAUGUUUAUAUUAUAAAAAUAGGAAUACUACAGUUUUUUAUUUUUUGAAAAAAAUAAAGUGUUUUCAAAACUAAACAGAGAUUUAAUGAGUAUUCAGAAAAUGCUUGUAAAUUUUCAAAACUUAUGAAGCUUUUCAAAAAAAAGAUAGUUAAUGUGGUAACAUGACAUCAGCGUUUUUUUCUCUGUCUCUUUCUUUGCGUUCUUUAGUUCUUUGUGUCUCUUUGUGUUGUGAAGAAGAGAAACACGAGAACCCUUAUUUACAAUUCCCCUAAUUCGAUUUUGUUUAAGUCAAUAGGGUCAGGCCGGAUCGGAUCAAAGCAAUCAGUUUUUGUGAGUUAGACAAUCACUGUUCCUCAAACGCAUUUUAAAUAUUUAAACUUGAUUUUAAAAUUUUAAUUAGAGAGGGCGAAUUGGAAUUGAUAAAAAAAAGAUUGGAGGAUUAUAUAUGAAACGAUUUUUAUAUUUUUGGGUGGUUUCGUGAGGAGUUGUGAGGAUAGAUAGGAAUCCUAUCAUACGAUUAUAUGUUUACAACGGGUUUAAGCCAGUCAUCCCCCCUCCCCUUUUACGUGUUCAAAAAGCGAGAGAGGCAGUCCAUUUCUCACGUGCGUCAUUUAUUUGCCGACAGUUUCUCACUCUGGUUAUACACAAGUACCUACCAUAUGUUCUACAUUUAUCUUAGAAAUCUCAAACUUAUAGUGUUUAGAAUGUCAUGAGCUGACAAAAAAAAAAGGAAUGUUAUGCAUUUUUCUGAAAGGCUAAAUCCACUUCUUCUCAACAUUUAAUAUUUUGUUCCUGAUAUUCAUGAAUCAUUCCGUAACUACAAUAAUUUUUCAUUUUCACCAAAAUAGACAGAGUAAUACAUUCGUAUAUUAACGUACGAGUAAAUAAAGUAGGGUUCCGUCCUGCACUUUUCAGUCGCGUCUUUGAAUCCAGUGAAUAAGACAUCGGGUAGCAAGCACCUCAGUGCGAAGAUAGUCGAUUCUUGGAUUUCACUCAAAUCAUGUGAUGGUCCCUGUCCCUGGUUCAGAAUUGAUGUCUCGUAUAAGUCUCAACUUUUAGGUCGGAUCUUUUUUAACUUUGUGGUUUAAAAGAAGUUUCAGUAGAAUAAUGUGUUCUCGUGGUGGUUUAAAAACAAUGUUGGACGAUUAGGUAAUGUACCUAACUCGUGAAUGUUCCUAGACGGAUACUCGAUCGUGCAUCAUCGUCUCUGUGCUUAAAACUUAUUAAGAUCCAAUAAAAGUUGAUAAAUGAAAGUUGAAGUUGCGAAGAAUAAAAUUAAAAACAAAGGUAGGGUCCAAUAGGGACACACAGGCCAUUGACUUGGAAUCGUAUGAUACAGUGUAGAGGCCCAACAGCCCAUCGCCAGCUGGAUUUCUUUAAAAGUGGGUCCCAUCUUCGAUCCGUUCUCCCAAAACUCACGUGACCUCUCCCUCCAUCUUUCUUCACUAUCUCCCUCCUCCCCACGUGACCUGACCUCUCUCCCUCUCUCUCUAUCUCGCCUCUUCUUCGUCUUCUCUCCUUCAUUCAUCUCUCAGACGAGCCCUCUCUCCGAUAUGCUCUGUAUCCUCAUUGCCAUCGUCGGUAUAAUCGAUUCUCCUCUAUCCUUUCCUCAUUCUCUUUGGUUUUGUUUCUUUACAAUUUCUCUCCUCGAUCCCAUUGCAUUUUUGAUCGGUCUUUCAAUUUCAGUUAGGUUUGUGUUCGAUUUUGUUGAAUCCGUUACUCAUACGGGAAUAAGUUUACUAUAGAUGGAUGCGUUAUUCUUGGUAUCUGCAAUUUGAUUGGUUAGGAGAUUACGAGAGGUUUCAUUAGUGCUCUUGUUAGAUUUCAGACAUUCGUAAUUACGAGCUACAAAUUAAGAUGAUUUAGCUUUGAUUCUUCAGUUUUAUUUCCAACGUUGUGUUUGUUUGUUUUUUGCUACUUAUGUUUUGAUUCUCGAAUCUUUUUUUAAUGAUAUUGAUUAUUGUGGGGCCAAUGGUGGAGUAAUAACGUAUUGAUGUUAUAAAGUUGCUUGCUUUACAAUAUAGUCUUCUUGGUUUGCUCAUUUUAAUACCAAUCCGGUGGGCAAACAAACCCUUUGUCUUAUAGCCCAUGUUAUUUUGCUGUCUGCUAAUUUUACAUGUCUUACAAGGUUACAUGUAUUGUUCUUAUCUAGUGCAGAAACAAGAGCAGAUGGGUCAGAUUCUACACCAAUCAGAACGUUGUUAUCGAUUUAGAAAGCCUCUUAUAGCGUAAAAGAGAUGGUUAAAAUAGUGAUACGACUUAUCUGAAAGAUGGAAGAGAGACGAGAUGAAUCGUUAUCUUCAGAACUUGCGGAAAGGGUUAAGUUACUUUCUGUUCAAUCUCAAGGUGAUGGUUUGAGUAGGGAGUCUCCUAGGAGUGUUGAGCAGGAUGUCUCUCCAGGUCAAAGAGCUUCACAGCUUCUUUGGGAUACUGGAAUGCUUUGUGAACCCAUUCCUAAUGGUUUCUACUCGGUUGUUCCGGUGAGCAGUUUAUUUUUCUUAUUUAGGAAGAUGCUGCUUCUAAUGUGAUUUUUUUUUUUCUGGUGCAGGACAAGAGAGUAAAGGAACUAUAUAAUAGACUACCUACUCCGAAUGAGCUACAUGCUUUGGGAGAGGAAGGUGUCAGAAUUGAAGUCAUUCUUGUCGAUUUUCAGAAGGAUAAGAAGCUCGCCAUGCUAAAACAGUUGAUCACUACACUUGUUAGCGGCUCAAAUCCUGCUUCGGUGAUCAAGAAAAUAGCUGGAACGGUAGGAAAAUGACUUUUCUCUCUUUGUUAAAGGUUUGCAUUGCAUGUUCUCAGGCGUUUAUUCAUUCUCUUUAAACAGGUGUCUGACUUUUACAAGCGUCCUACACUGGAAAGCCCUUCAAAGCUUGCUCUGGAGGAAAAUGCCUUCUUGUUUGAAAACCAUGGUGCUCAGUUGCUUGGCCAAAUUAAGCGUGGGUGCUGUCGAGCUCGGGCAAUUUUGUUCAAAGUCUUAGCUGACACUGUUGGACUUGAGAGUCGGCUGGUGGUGGUGAGCCUCAACUUCUUGCUGUUUCAGUUUUCUUGUUUCCUCUAAUUAUGUGCUAUUUGGCUCUAACAAAUCAACCUUCUCGUUUGAUUCAUAUGAGCAGGGUCUGCCUAAUGAUGGGACUGUGGAUUGCAUGGACUCUAACAAACACAUGUCUGUUAUAGUCGUGCUGAACUCCGUUGAACUACUAGUUGAUCUAAUCCGUUUUCCUGGUCAGCUGGUGCCUCGAUCAGCCAAGGCAAUUUUCAUGUCACACAUCACACCUUCGGGAGAGAGUGAUUCUGCCGAAAACGACUCUUGUGACUCGCCUUUGGAGCCAAAUAGUCCUUUAUACGAGAGAAGAGAUCCUGAGAGGUCAGUUUUCCGUUGCGUGAUUUUCUUGCUAAACCAUUUUAUAGGCAGAUCAUUCUGGACACAUCUCUUGUUAUAUGCUUCCCCGGGAGUGAUGAACCGUUUCCUAUGUUACAGUACAGAAAAAGAUGAAAAAGGAUAUCCAAAUGCAUCAUUGCAUAAUUUGAUGCUUAGACCUGCUACAGCUAUUGAAAGAAAAUUGAGGUACCUGUGACAUAUAUUCUGACAAGUUGUAUCUUUAAUGGUAGAUUUAUGAUAGAAAUGUGUUUUUUUCCUUCAGUAACACCUCACAUAGUGAACCAAAUAUUGCCACUGUGUUCUGGAGACGUAGCCGCAGAAAAGUGAUUGCUGAACAGAGAACAGCUAGCUCGAGGUUUUUCCCUGCUCUUUCUAGCUUAGAUUAUAGUUAACAGAAAAUAAAAUACGCAGAUCAUUACAUUGAUAUAGUAAUGAGUUGGAAAAUGUAAAAGUUACCGUUUCUCUCCUUGUUGCUGCUUUUAUAUUUAAAUCUCUUGAUAAGAUGCAUCUCAGAAAAUUUGCUUGGCGAUUCUGUAUGAGUUAUUUGAAGUGUGCCUUUCUUUAUGCUUAACUGAUAAAAGUCGGCAAUCUGUUACAUUUGCAGCCCAGAACACCCAUCCAUGCGAUCACGUGGACGAUCUAUGUUGAGUACUGGUAGGCACUCGUUUAGGGAUUACUCUGGUGAUGCAUCUCCUUCAAGGUAGCUCAAUUUUACAAUAGUGCAUACCAAAAUCUGUCAGCCUUUUCCAUACAUCUAGUCAGCAUGUUUGACAGGACUUCCAAUAUUAGUUAGUUCCUUAUUCAAAUCUUUGCUAGAUUUUGCAAAUUUGCUCACAUAUGUUAAAAUCAACGUAUGAGGCUGUGGUUGCAGACCCUAAGCUUUUCAUUGGUUCCUUGGAAAGGCUACACUCUAUCUUUUCUAGAAAUUUAUGUUCAGAGAUUUGGGAUUUCUUGCAGAGCCAACAAAACCAUUAAACUUAUUCUCAUAAAUAAUGAAAGAUAAAGGAAAGUAAUAACUUAGAUGUAUUUAGUACCUAAGAGAGAGUGUUGCCUUUCCAAGGAACUACCCAUGAAAAGCUUAAGGUCUUCAACCACACCGUCAUAUAUUGCUUCAGGGAUAAUUCAGAUAUUGCUCAAAUAGAUCUCAAGGAUUAAUAUUUGCUAGAUUUUGCAUAUUUGCUCUUAUAUGUUAACUCGAGUAUUAAUUUUUGUCUUUGUAAAUUUCACUCCAUUUUAGUGAUAAUAUACUUUACUAUUCUUGCAUUGUUUGUCAGAAUUCUGAUCUUACUAUUACGAGAUGCCCAGAGCAAUAUGUAUAUUUGAUUGCUGUGCAAACAAAUUUUAAAUAUGUUUAUCUUUCUAACAGUUCAUCCACAUUAGAAAUUCGUAAAACUAGACGACGAAGUUUCAGGAUGACACCAGAGAUUGGGGAUGACAUUGCAAGGUUGGUAUUCUCAACCGUGUGCACUGUUUUUUUCUUUCAUCCUUUACAAGCAUUUGUGUAAUUAUCAGCUUGCAUAUUAAAGUCUCUUUAUUCGAACUUGUUCUGUCAAUCUAAGUUAUGAGGUAAUUUUGGAACUCUUCGAUUAUCUUAACAGCUGUCAUUAUAUCACAUGUAAUUACGGAAUGAGCCAUCUAAAGUGCAAAACUGUUAUCUUCAAACUCGUAGAUGCUUAGGUGUCUGUAGGAUAGUGAUGUACCAAUGUGAUGUUGAAACUAUAUUUUCACUCUCACUGUCACAAAAGCUUUUAAACCAUUUCAUGGCACUUCUUCUAACUUUGUGAUUUGGUACUGAGAAUUAUGAGAAAGAACUCAUGAAAGAGUGAGCUGCGGUUUUAUCAUUUUCUUGUGUAUUGAUUCUGUUGUUACAAAUUUUUGAAGCGCUGUACGAGAAAUGUAUGAGAAAUCAAAGCAAAACCGUCUCUUGCAUGGCCGAGAGGAUGAAAACAGCUCAGGUAUCAAUAAAAAUGUAAGUUGGGGAUCUUUGAGUGACUAUUGUGUUGUGUCAGUUCUCUUCCCAUAGUUUAACCAGUAUAUACGUUCUGAGUUUUCUCGAGAAAGUCAUUGCACUAAGAAGUUGAAUCUAGUGGCUCGUACCUCUAUAAACUCUUGUGCUUUCUUUGGUUGUCAUUUUCCAGGUGUCUGGCCUCCAUCUUGAUGAUGUGUUAAAUUCGAAGAAGACAAUGUCGUUGCCAUCAUCCCCUCAUGCUUACAGGAGUCAAGGAUUCGGACGAAGAGGGCCUUCAGAUUUUGCCGUGAAGGAUACGUGGAAUAAAGUGGUUGAGUCUUCCACAUUGCAGAAUCAGCCUUUGUUACCCUAUCAAGAAUGGGACAUUGACUUCUCAGAGCUGACUGUUGGAACUCGGGUGGGGAUUGGUAAGCUGCUUUAAAUUUAUCUUUGAUAUGGACAAUGCAGUUUUUAGUUCAUUUUCAAUUACUUGAGCAUUGUUUUAUGUUUUGCAUCUAGGAUUUUUUGGUGAAGUUUUUCGUGGAGUGUGGAACGGAACAGAUGUUGCUAUCAAAUUGUUUCUGGAGCAAGAUCUUACUGUCGAAAACAUGGAAGAUUUCUGCAAUGAGAUAUCGAUUCUCAGGUACCUUGUUAUCAAUUGCUGCUUGGUUAUUGUUGUAUCAAUCCCUGUAUACAUCUACUAACUAUUUUGCAUGUUUGCUCGGGCAUCUGUGGUUCUCUCUUCAGCCGAGUUCGCCACCCAAAUGGUGAUUUUUGUUUUCCUCACAAUCUCUCGUUUCAUGUUUAUUAAAUAAUUUGGGGAGACAUGUCUAAGAUUAUUUUCUUCGUUCACCUUUAUCAGACAAGUUGUGAUCCAUGUUUUUGCAGUUGUUCUAUUUCUGGGUGCCUGCACAAAACCUCCGCGCUUAUCCAUGAUUACGGAAUACAUGGAGCUGGGAUCUUUGUAUUAUUUGAUCCACAUGAGUGGUCAAAAGAAGAAACUUAGCUGGCACAGAAGGCUCAGGAUGCUAAGAGACAUCUGCAGGUACAUAGCUUGCUUAUAAUCUCCAAUCUAUUUGCUCUGCCUUCGAUGCUCAAAGUGUGGAUCAUGGUUGGUGAUUCUCUGUGGAUUAGCAGAAUGGCAUGCAGAAAGCUGAACACUAGGGUGCACCAUUACCUACUUAUUAUGUCAUAUUUCUUUUUAGUUACUAGUUCCGUCUUAAUUAUUAUAUCUUAAUGGAGUGAACAUACUUGAUUUGUUUCACUCUACAUAAGAAACAAGAACAUCUUAUACAUAUUUCCCUAGAUAGUAUACUAUAUCAAACUACAUAUGCGUAAUUCAUAUGCUGGUUUGUAUUUUUGAUUUGGAUGCUUAAGGGGCCUGAUGUGCAUUCACCGGAUGAAAGUAGUCCACCGUGAUCUAAAAAGUGCCAACUGUCUCGUGGACAAACAUUGGACAGUCAAGAUCUGUGAUUUUGGGCUCUCGAGAAUAAUGACUGAUGAAAACAUGAAGGACACUUCAUCUGCUGGUACACCAGAGUGGAUGGCUCCAGAACUCAUUCGCCAGGAACCUUUUACGGAGAAAUGUGAUAUCUUUAGUCUUGGUGUCAUAAUGUGGGAGCUUUCUACUUUACGUAAACCAUGGGAAGGUGUUCCACCUGAGAAGGUACAAUAUGCUGUGCCCUGAUUCUUCUAUGCUCUCACACAUGACCAUUCUUUCAGUGUAUGUGAACUGGAUUGAUUGUUGAAAGUUUACUUCUUAGGUUAUUUUUGCUGUUGCGCAUGAACGGUCACGUCUUGAGAUUCCUGAUGGUCCACUGAGCAAACUAAUUGCAGGUUCGAUAUUGUAAACUCCAUAGUUUCUUGAACAUCUGAUUGAUCUUUUUCGUUUAUUCUCUCAUACUAUUCAACUGUUACAGUCUGAAUAAAUGUCACUAUAUUUUUUUCUGCAGACUGUUGGGCAGAGCCUCAAGAACGUCCAAAUUGUGAAGAGAUACUUAGAGGCUUGCUAGAUUGUGAGUAUACACUGUGUUAGCACCACUUCUCUGUGGUGGGAUAUGAGCCGAAGGACUUUUAGCUCAAAAAGCAGCCCAGCUUACUUUUAAGAUCAUGCGAGCUUCAAGGCUCUAAUGAGAGAAAUUUUCAGAUCAGUUUUGAUAGAGGCACCAAAUGUAGACAAUACCAAGAAGUGUUUAUUGUGUGAUUCAUGGUCUCACAGGCAGUGUUUUGGUUAUUAAAGAGCAUUUUGGUCUAUUUCAAGAAAAUAUAGAUAUAUGUAAUGCUAUUCUUUUUUUUUUUUGGGGCAAAUGUAAUGCUAUUCUUAUUUGGGAAAAAUAAAGAGCUCUUUGAUAUGUAUUUACUUCAUUCAUCCAUCCAUCCAUUAUCUUCAAAACAAAGAUGAAAUUAUUAAGUGUGAUGCAUAUGCUGCGGCUGACAAACACCUCAUAAUAAACAGAAUAAUAAUAAGAGAGCAAUAACAAGUCAGAACUUAAAACAAAUUAAUUACCAUCUAAAUGGAGUUUUUGAAAAGAAAUAAGCUAUCAUCCCUCAAUCUGAGUUAUAUCCCAAACAAGCAAAACAUAGAGCAACUAUAACUACAUACCUUAUAGGACACGUUACCUUAACAUUAUAUGCCUGGUUCUUGAUUAAUUCGGAUAUAUUUAGGGUUGUUUAAUUUCUUGUGAUAUUAUUAUCUAGUGGGGACACUACUGAGAGUCAUGCAAAAUGAAGCAAGUUUCUUAGAUUCAACUUUAUUGUCCAUACAAAAAAUGAAAUCUGGGGUCCAUUUUCAGUUACAAGCAUGUACGUUUCAUGAUUACACCACAAACAUUUACAUGAUUCUUCUCUAUAUAAGUAAUCCAUCACUCUUCUUCUCUUUGCUCUACACAGAACCAGAGUAAAACAAAAAUUCAAAAGAAAACAAAAAUGGAAGCCAAAGUGAUUUCUUGCACUACUUUUGGAGAAGACAAGGUCAUAAAGAUUGUUGUUUCGAGCCAUCGUGCAGUCACCAACUACAAACCUGGAGAAAACGAAACGACCGUUGUUGUUGCCGAUGAUACUUGCUCCAAGAAAGAUGUUGAAGAGAUUAAGAAGACUUGUGAGAAGCUCGAUUAUGUUUACGAAGGAAGACUUCACGAAGAUUACGCUCAGACCAACAUUGGACCUGGUUUGGUCUGAAAGUUUCAGAGUUACAGUUAAACUCUCUAUGCGUUGCUUCACUUUUGUCUAAGUACUUUUCUUUUCUGCAUUUUUGCUUUCUAUGUUCUAAGUUAUCUCUUGGUGGUUUGCAGUGUAUGAAUGAAUUUAUAUGAGUUUAUUAGUUACAUUUUCUUCCAACACUGACUUUGACCUAAUCACUCUGGCCUCUUAACACACAACAGUCUAACUUGUUAAUAUAAACUGAAACUGGUGCUUUUAGACAUCGGUUUUUUGAGUAGAAACGGAGAUGGCUUCUCCUAUAGCUUGAAAGAAUGUAGCAAUAUUGUAAGUAAAGAACCCAACCAACAUUGGUUUCAACUUCAAGUGCAUGAAUCCAAUACUCAGGGACAAGUAAUCUGCCAAACAUAUUCAAAAAGUAAAUCUGAUUGAUGGAACCAAGUUAGUUGUAGUGAAAAGAUAUAAUAAUGCACAAGAGAUCGCGCUUACGCAUUCCAUCUGUUGAAUAUCAUAACCAACACAACCGGGACUAGUAACCGUGGCUGUCCAGCUGCUUGGGACAGUUCUAAACAGGAGUUCUACAGCUCACCCACAACAAACUGAUAGGCAGACAGAGGUAACCAACAGAACUAUAGGGAAUAUGAUUAGAAGUGUUUGUGGUAAUAAGCCAAAGCAGUGGGACUCGGCUUUGCCUCAAGUGGAAUUUGCUUACAACAGUGAUGUGCAUUCCGCGACGGAGAAAUCACCUUUUUCUUUGGUAUACACGUCUGCUCCCUAAGCAUGUAGUUGAUUUGGUUAAACUGCCUAAGGCUCCUGGGGUCAGUGCAUCAGCUAAGGCUAUGGCUGAAGAAAUUUUUCACUGUUAAAGAAGCGGUUAAAGUUAAGUUAGAGGCUAUUGGGCAGAAGAACAAGGUUGCUGCUGAUACUUAGAAGGAUUAAAAUUUUCAAAGAAGGGGACGAUGUGAUGGUAUUCCUCCGUAAAGAGAGGUUCCCGGUUGUUACGUAUAAUAAGCUGCAACAACGCAAGUAUGGACCAUUCAAGGUGUUACGGAAGAUCAAUGAUAAUGUUUAUGUUGUGGCUCUCCUAGAAUCUAUGAACAUUUCUAAUACCUUCAACGUAGCUGACAUUCAUGAGUAUCAAGUAGAUGAGAAUUUGGGGACAAGUUCUUCAGAGGUGGAGGAGACUGAUGUAGGAAGGAUUUACUGGUUUUUCCUUUUUGAUAUUUUCUAUUUUUGUGAGUUUUCCUUUUUAGUUUUCACUAGUUUUUCCUUUUUGAUAUUUUCUAUUUUUGUGAGUUUUUCUUUUUAGUUUUCACUUUUGGUUUUUUCCUAUUUUAUAGUUGAGAUCCUUCUCUAUAUAAGGAGAGGUUCUAAGUUUUUGUAAGACACAACUUAUUAUUCUAAAUGAGAGCUUUUAUCGAAUCUGGUGGAUUUCCAGAGUUUUAUCUUCAAAUUCAUCGCUUGUGAACUUGAAUUCGUUCUAGUUUUAGUGUUUGCUAAUCCUAAAGUUUUCCGACUGCGUCAGAAGCAGAGUUAAAACAAAGACUCAAAGAAAAAAUGGAAGCCAAAGUCAUUUCUUGCACUACUUUCGGAGACGACAAGGUCAUAAAGAUUGUUGUUUCGAGACAUCGUGCUGUCACCAACUACAAACCUAGAGAAAACGAAACGACGACCGUUGUUGUUGCCGAUGAUACUUGCUCCAAGAAAGAUGUUGAAGAGAUUAAGAUGACUUGUGAGAAGCUCGAUUAUGUUUACGAAGGAAGACUUCACGAAGAUUACGCCCAGACCAACAUUGGACCUGGUUUGGUCUGAAAGUUUCAGAGUUACAGUUAAACUCUCUAUGCGUUGCUUCACUUUUGUCUAAGUACUUUUCUUUUCUGCAUUUUGAUUUCUGUGUUCUAAGUUAUCUCUUGGUAGUUUGCAGUGUAUGAAUGAGUUUAUAUGUGAGUUUAUUAGUUACAUUUUCUUACAACACUGACUUUGACCUAACCGCUGGACUUAACACAGAACAAAACAAACUUGUUAUAUAAACUGAAGUAGGUGCUUUUAGAAAUGGAGAUGUCUUCUUCUAUAGCUUGAAAGAAUGUAGCAACUUUGUAAGUAAAGAACCCAACCAACAUUGGUAUCAGCUCCAAGUGCAAUGAAUUCAUACUGAGGAACAAGUAUUCUGCCAAACAUAUUCAGAAAGUAAAUCUUAUUGAUGAAACCAAGUUAGUUGUGAUGAAAAGAUAUGAAAAUGGAAGAGAGAAAAGGCUUACGUGUUCCACCUAAUGAAUAUCAUAACCAACACAACCAGGACUAGUAACCGUCGCUGUCCAGCUGCACCUCUAUCAGAUCAAUCAAGCUAAGAAAGAAAAGAAAAAUGUGAGUGAGUCUUCUCAAUAUAGAUAACCGAAAUGAAUGAGAAUAGAAAGACAGGUAACACGUACUUCAUAACUCCUCUGGCUCCAUCUGCCAUGGCAUCUACAGUGUUACCAAACAUUCUCAUGUAAGCUAAUGAACCCAUCAAGCCAGCACCAAAACUGUUAACAGAAGUUCCAACACAGAUACAAAUAAAUGCGAUCAGAUGACUUCACAGUUAUUAAUUUUGAGAGGUUUUGAUGUCCUUUGUAGGAGAAAGACAAACCUAAUUAGUGUUAUCUCUGGUGUUGCAUGAAAUAUAAGCUGAGACUAAACCAACACCACCAAUGCCAACUGUGAGAACCUGUAGCUUAUUUUUCAACUGCAAAAAUAAAAAUAAAAACCAAAAGUCAAAGAGAGUAAAAACCAAAGAGUCCAUGAAGAUUAAAGAGUUUGAUGCAAAACCAAUAUGCCUUUCAUGAGUGCCCAAACCGUAAAACCAGUAGCCAUACCGUGAACGGAUGUUAGCUAACGAAUAGGUUUGAUAUUACGCAUGAUAAUAAUUUUUGUUUGAUAUUAUCUGAUGUCUGAUGAUCAUCAUCAUCAUCUAUUAUUAUUUUAAAAAGAAAUAAAUUAAAAUAAGAAGAUAAACCUGAGUAUAUAUUUAUUGACUAAACAAAAAGUAUUGUUAUUAUCUCAAUUCUCUUUUCUUUUUAAGCUUUUUCCAAAGUUAUUAAUAACUUCUUCCUUUUUUACUUACUUUGUUUGUAUUUUUAAAGUUUCUGUUUUUGUAGUUUCAUAUGUAUUGACGGUUUAAAGAAGUAAUUCACAGAAGUAAUGAAGGUUAAAUAGAUGAAUAUUACAAAGAUUUUAAACCAUCUGUCCUAAAAGAUCAAAGAAUAUAUAAUUUUAUACGAAAAUAGAAUUUUAAUUAUAUAAUAUAAAAUCUGGAAAGUUGUUUCUAAAGAAAUUCAUACAUCGACUAGGAAACCAAAUUAUAUCAAAAUCUCUAAUGAAUGAGGAAGGAAAAAAGAAAGUUUAACUAAAAAAAUAGAAAAUAAAAACAAGAAAGGAAAAAACAAACAAUUUCACUAACAUAUAUCCGACGUGGACUAAUCAAACAUAUUAAAAUUGCAAUCCUAAAACGAAUAAAGUAUGGUAAGCCUCCAUCAAGUUCUACUAUAUAUAAACACACACAAAUCUAUUUGUAGUUCCAUCUCUUUCUCAUUGUUUUCUACCUCCCGGCAAAUAAAGAAUCACAAUAUCAAUCAUGAAGAACACAAUCAUGACUUUGUUAAUUGUAACAUUGUCACUAAUCGGAUUAGCUCGUUCUGCAUCUUUUUACGAGGUUGGAGACACCAACGGAUGGACGACAAAGAUGGGCCUUGAGUAUUACAAGACAUGGUCUUCUUCAAAGACUUUCUACCUUGGAGAUUCCCUCAUCUUUCAAUACAACAAAGAUCUCCACAACGUGAUGGAGGUGAGCUUCAAAGAUUACGAGUUGUGUAACCCUAAUUCAGCUCUGGCCACAUAUCACUCUGAGUAUGAACCGGUUAAGCUUAACAGAACCGGACACUAUUACUUCAUAUGCGGUGUGCCUGGUCACUGUGAAUGUGGUCAAAAGCUUGAGGUCCUAGUCACGGCGCCUGCCUCUCUGCAGAAUCCUGCCACAACUCAACAAAACAACUCUUCUACUUCUAAUUCUAACCCUGAACCUAAUCCUACAAUUCCUGAUCCUAAACCUAAUCCUACAUUUCCUGAUCCUAAACCUAUGCCUACUAGUCCUGAUCCUAAACCAAAGCCUUCACCGCGUUGGGAGGAUCCUCUUGUGGUUCUUCCAGUAGAUGCUGCAACAAUUGCAUCACUUCCUCACAAUGCAGCCUCAGACCCUUGUGUGUGGAGUGGGUUAAGCUUGCUCUCAUUCGUUCUUCUACAAACCCUAGUUUUUCUUUAAGAGUUUUUUUUUUGUCUUAAAACUAUGUUAUUUUAGGGUUUUAUUUUGAGAUUUUUUUUUGGUUAAAAUUAUUUUGAGAUUUGUUAGUAAAUUUUUUUUUAUUAUUUUUUUUUGUCAUCAUUAUUAUUGCUUAUACUCUAAUGUUAAUGGUGUUUGGUUUUCUAUUACCUUCAUGGAUAUUUCUCCAUAUAAUCACAAAUCUUUUUUUUUUUAACUUCUAAAUUAUCACAGAUUUUGUUUACGAAUAGUUAUAUCUUAAACGCGUUGUGUAUAAAGAAUAAGACAUUACUAUAAAACGUGUGGGUCGUAAGAUUUACCCAAGUUCACCCACAAAACUCUUUAUGACCAUAAAUCCGCUGGUCCAAAAAGACUAUCGUAAGAAAUUUUUUUUUUGUUAUUUAACAGAAGAAGAAGAAAUAUUACGCUCAAGGUUAGUUUUAUACUUUCUAAUACCACUUUAAGACAGUUUCUACCAUUCACCCAUUUUUUCUUUUUCCCAACGCACUUUUCACUUUUCCCAACCUAUACAAACCCAAUAUUACCCCUGUGUACUAUGAAAACCAAACUUACUCAAUUGAAACCGAAUUAAUAUUUAACUAAAUAACACAAAUUUUUUACUUUUUUUUCUCAUUAUCUCUUUUAUUUUUCUCUUUUCUUUCUCUCUCUUUUCGGCCAUUGUUGUAGAAGCUUGUUUUGUGAAGAUGUAGAUGAAGCAAUAUAAAAGACGACGGAGAAGAAAUAGCUGACCUGCAACGUCUUUACCACUUUUCUAUGCCGUCUCCGCUACCGAUGUCCGGCGUCUCCGCUACCGAUGUCCGGCGUCUCCGCCAAAAAAUCCUACCUUUUUAUUCUGAUAAAAAUAGUUUGAUGUUUGUAAUAGUUUUUAAGUUCUCGAUAUUGGUGUUGUUGUUGGUAGCCUUAUUGAAGUCUUUCCAAUAAAUAUCUUUGUCAAGAAAGAUAAUGAUACAAGAUUGUUAGUGUUGAAGCUUAAUUUAUUACAGCCACCAAUAGAAAUCAGAGCAACUCAAAAGACAUUUUUAAUAUUAAUUUUACUAAUGGAUGAUAAAAUUGUGUUGAAAUCUACAUUUAUAAACGUUAAUUCAAAUAUUGUACGUAGUGUACAUGUGGAUUUAAUACUCUAGUGUACACAUAUAAUUGUCCACAUGUACGCUUGUACAUUAUCCACAUGUAUGUUUGCCAACAUGUACAGAUACUCAAUAUCAAAAUGUACAACUGCAAACAAUAUACAUAUGUACAAAAAUAAAUACAUAAAACAUCUUUAGUAUACACAAUACUGCUACGCAUAAUAACAAUGAAACAAACAUUUUAUAGUGUUCCAAAUUAAAAUACUUGAUCACUUUCUUCUCCACACUGUCUUGAAAAGUUGUGUUUAAAUUCUGAGCAUAUUUUUCCUUCACGUUUCUUCUACUUGUUGUGAACGGAAAUGUUACACAUCACAUUUGAGUUGUUAAUUUAAGUUGUAUUCUUUUAGAUAUUAUCAAGUAUUAAUUUUAAAGAUAUUUAAUAUACAAUACACACAUACAUGCUACCACAUGUAUAUGUGGACAAAUAAAUAUGGAUGCUUAAUCAAAGAACAUAGAGUUUCUUUAUGUACACGUGUACGCCUCCUAUAUGAUAUCCACAUGUACACAUCAACAAUGUGUACUUCUUACAUAUAUCUACAUGUGUUCAUAUGACUAAUAUUGUAUUUAAGAAUACAAACCACAUCACUGCAACUAAGAGCAUAUAAUGUUUAUUUAAAUGAAAAUUUUGUUAUGAAUAAGUAAUAAAAAUCUAAAUUAUACAUACCCAACACAUUCAUGCGGCGUUGACAAGACGAACGCUUUGACACGCAGUGCCGUAUAGUUCAAAGCGGUAAUUAGACUUGAUGUAAAAGAGUUUUCCAGUGACAGAAUAAUAAGAGUAUUAGACAAAGAGGUUUAAUACAAUUUGAAGUGGUAAUCAAACUCAGACCAUUGGAGAGCAUUAAUGAGUGAGCAGUGACGAUGGCGGAGACAAAACAAAAUGAAGAGUUGAUUCAUAUGAGAAGGAAGAUAAGCUGUGACUUUGACCAUGGAUGAACAACUCUCUUAUUGAAAUUUUGGGAAUCAGAUUGUGGUUAGUUGAUCGAGAUCUGAGACUACGCUUUGGAGGAUGAAGGAGAUAAGGAUUUUGUGGUUAUUGAAGUCAUCGAGUCUAUAUUUGCCUAGAUACUUUCUCUGUUAUGCCAUCUAGCUCCACCGCCUCCGUCGUCAAAUCAAUUAAGUUUUUCGGCGUGAUUUUUCAACUUUUCUCAGCACAAUUUUUAGGUAAACGUGCAAAAGAUGAGAAAAAAUAUAAAAAGGUGUGGUUGAAAAUUCUUUAGUGUCGUUCUUAUCUCUUUCCAAUUAAAAAACAAUUUAAAAUUUAAAAACAUUAAACUAAAAAAGAAAAAGAAACGUUAAGCUUCGUUAGGGAUAGCAAAGUAAACAACCAUAGCAAAACUACUUCAAUAAUUGACUUAUUGUGUAAUAAAAUCACAUUAACUGACUCUCACUGAGUGAUUUGUAAAUCACUCACAGAAGAAUGCAUCUUCUUGCGUAUAAGUUAUGGAUCUAUGUAAUCUGAAUAUUCCUCGUAUAUAGUGUAUAUUCAAUAAUUUUCUUUGUGUAAGAAUGUGACAAGAAAGAGAGCCAGAAACCAAACCAACUUUUACUAAAAACUGCACCGGUGGAAGGUUACUCUUUGGCUCGUUUGCUCUGUGAUUUACGCUUGGUAACGUCUAGACAUCUCUUCCUCAACCUAAUCGUCUUUGGAGUAACCUGAAGACAUUUAAACCAAUAACAAUACAUCACAAGAAGGCAGAAAUAAAACGUUCCUCGUGGUUAGCUGGACUUAGGAUUGGCGAUUAAUUAACAAUGGUACCUCAAUAAGUUCAUCUGAGGCAACGUAUCCUAUAGCCUCCUCAAGUGUCAUCUGAAUAGAAAAGAAAGAUAAGAAGUUUUAGUCAACAAGAAAACGGGUUUCUUGUCUCUUUCGAUGUUGUGAGAAAAGUAGCUAAAGAGAAAAAGGUACAUACGAGGCGAGGUGGAGAUAGCUUCACAUUCUCGUCUUUGUUAACAGAGCGAAUGUUGGUAAGCUCUUUGGCCUUAACCGGGUUAACCUGUAGUUUGCAAGGCAAGUGAGCCCAUGGUAUUGUCAUUUUUAAGCGCAAGAAGGAUGAGUCUAACCAACUUACAUCAAGAUCUGUGUCUCGUGAGUGCUCACCGAUAAUCAUGCCAUCGUAUGACUGUUAAAAUACAAAGAAACAGAACAGGAUGAAGCAUUAGCAAGGAUCAAACGCGCAAAGACCACAUAAAUGUUCUAACUAUGAAUAACUACACCAAUAAAGGAACAGAACAUGUAUAUAUAUAUAUAUAUAUAUAUUAUCAUAUUUAGAAAGGUUCUCACUUCCAGUCCCGGAGACACAAAGAGAGUCCCACGAGCUUCCAACCCCAUCAGUGAAUGAGCUGUAAUAGUUCCAUAUCCCAUCGAAACCUGUGCAUCAAGAAAUAUAAAUUUCAAUUAUAACUUAAUAAUGCAGGCACGACAUUUAGGAAACAAAGACUUCGAGUGAAAAGGGAUAUUUCUAUUCAACAACCAGCCAUAACACAACAAGAUAUAGCUAUCCACCAAAUGGUUAGAUAUUGAGUUAUGGCAAGAGUAUGACUUAUUAGGGCUUAAAAACGUAGUUGGAAAGUUAGAGAGAGGUGAGAGUGGAUUCUCUCUUUUCUUUCUCUCCCCACCGUUCAUCUUCUACUCGACAAAGCCACCGCUGAUUCUCGUUCUGGUGGCCGACGGAGGGUAUCUACCUGUCUGUCGCCACCCCAAUCGCUUCUGAGUCCAGCUUCAUCCCCUCUCUAGCCUCGAUUUCUCCAUAUCCUCCUUGCUCUUCUUCUCUGGUUCUUCGUCGGUUUGCGGUCGGAACCGGCAAAUCAAAGCGGUGACUGAGUGUGUCCUCGGUCUCCCUGGAGUGAUGGCGAGGAUGUGGAUAGUCGGAUCUGAGCAGGAGGCACCGUCUAGGUGGUAGAUCUAGGGUUUGAUUUCAAGCGGAUCUGGGUCAGUUUCUCUCUUGGAGGGUCCGACGGAGUGGCUGAGCGUCGUUGCUUUCGCCUCUCUUGUCGCUGCCUCGUCUGUCUCCCCUUGCUCCUCUUCCGGCUGCUAAUGAUAAGAACUUCCCUCUCUCGUUCUGAGUUAAAAAGACGAUAUCAAAGCUUAUCGUCGCGGACUUCUUUCUGGUUUGGUUCUUCGACAAUCACCAUGGCGCCUAGUUAGGUUUUAGAACUGUCUGGGGUUUGGGUUGACUCAGAGCUUUCGUGCCGUUGCUCUGCUAUGUCCCUACUCCAUUCGAUGGGUCUUUUCUCCUCUUCUACCUGCUGAUGGGAGCUUCUUGUUCCUCCGCUUCUCAAGUUUCAGAAGGUUGAUAGCCACUGUCCCCUGCCUCUCUUGAUGUUCUGUAACCGGUUACCUUUUGUGCUCUGCUCGCGGGAUGGGACCGGAGUUCAGCCGCAUAAACCUCUGCUUCCAUCUGCCAGUAUUCCACCUGUGUUUCAUCUGCUGGUUCCUCCUCAUCGGUUUGGAUUCUCAGGAGUGCAGCUUGCCGUCUUCUUGAGCUAGCAGUGUCUGGAGUGGACUUCACUGGUUAGGAAUGGCCGGACCAGGACUUGCCGACCCUGCUUCGCCUGUUCCACGGUUGGAGUCGCCCUCGGGACGGUAUGCGGUCCCUCAGACUGUUCUCUGGCUGUGACCUCUUUGGACUCGUGCGGUUUUGAUGCAGGUCCCGACAUCAAUCUAUUCGCUGUGGUCUGCUGUUAACUUAAUGGUUGUCAAUUGAACCAUAAUGUUAGCCAAGCUUUAAUCACAUCCAUAUGGCUGCGAUUGAAACUUUGUUUGUCUUGGUGAGUUCUUUUUAGCUUUUUUUUGUAGCUCCCUAAGACACACUUGCUUUGAGUAGCGACUUAGAUACAAUAGGUUUUGAUUCAUCAAGCUGAAUGUAUCUCUCUGCAUCAUUAUUGAUUUAAUGAAAAUUCACAUACGUAACAAAAAAAAAAAAAAAGACUUAUUAGGGCCAGAAACUAGAGAAAGGAAAACGUACCUGUAAUAGAACUAUGCCAAUUUUCCUUUGCUCCAGAAAACAUAUAUGUCUGUGGGGAACUCACGUGAUUCUUCAUUAACUCGAAGGCAACAAAAUACAAUAUUUAUUUUACUCUACUAAUUCUAACAUUUCUAUUCGGAGUUUAUUGAUUAUCUAGUCACUAGAUAAUUAAUUUAUUUGAUUUUCACGUUAUAUAUAAGGUGACACAGAUGUAAUGUAAUGAAAGCUGCAAAGUAGAGGAAAGAUGGAGAAGCAAAGUCGUUGUGAUAAGAUGUAAUAAAUGUAACGACGAUGUGUUCUUGUCUGAUUUGCAAUUUAACCCGUCGCAUUCAUCCAUAUAACUUCUUCACAUGGACACAUGUUGUCCACUUAAACAUAUACAUGCGUUGUUCUUUUCUAUUAUCGUCCAUCCAUAACUUAACAUGUCCACAAUUUUGAUGUCUACACCUCAUAUUUCCAUAUCCACAUUUUAGUAUAUAACCCUUUAUAGGAUCAAGGUAAAGACACAUCAACCCCCAAUUAUUAAGCUUAUGACUUUUCAUGCAAUUUAUCAUAUGUUGAUAUAUACAUUAAAAUCAAUAUAUUUUAUAUUUUAUAUUUUAUAUGUAGUUCUUGACGACGGUUAUAUGUAGUUCUUGAUAACGACAACAAUGUGGAAGUCAGUGAAUAACAUCACUAAUCUGGAUGUUAUAGUUUCUUCUGCUUAGAGCUGAUAAGAUUUUGCUUUAUUUCUAUUCGAUGUUACUAUUUAUUUGGUUUAUUAGGUAAGAUAUUUAUUUUAGUUUUGGAUUUAAUAAACAUAUAGACGAUUAUUUUAAGUUAGAAUUAAGUUAAUUUUUGAUUUUAAAAUUAAUGUAUUCAAUUUUAGUUUAUUUUUUAAAAAGAAAUCCAAAAUUUUUAUAGCUCUUUUAGAGUCGAACCGGACUUUGAAAUAUAAACACAAAAUUUUCAAAGGCUGAAUUAGGUCAUGCUUAAAUAGCAAGUGAGUUUUGUGGGUUUUGGACCAGGCCGGGUCGGGCAGCCCGAUUGACACCCCUAGCUCUACUACCACUCUUGUUCAUAAAUAUGUAUUCACUCCCACAACAAUUUAAAAAACUUUACAUUCUACUCAAACACUUUCACUUGGCUAUUGGCUACCCUCCCACCUAACCAUUUGAAUCACAAACCAUGUGAUACAAAAUCACAAAAGUGUGUGAUUUCAUCACACAACCAAGAACAAAUUCACCCACAGACAAAUGCGCUAACUUCCCUUACUUUCAUCCUCCUAAAAUUCAAAUACCUUAUUUGUGAGCAUAAACCAUGGAUUGAUUGUUCACAUUAGAACACAAAAAACCUUGUAAUUUUUGGGACUCUACAAAACUACUUCAAAGUCACUUUCAGCCUACAAGGCAAAGAAACUAUAUCCCCAAAUUCUCUUUACAUUAUAACUAAUCUUAUAACUAAAAGCUUCUUUCUACUCACUCACUUAAGAGGGCAAUUAAGUACUGUACAAAAUGCCCCUCUAGCCAAAAAUGUGUUAAGUGAUAUUUUGAAACUCAGUUAUGUGCUAAGAGUGUCAUCAACUCUCGGAGCUAAACUAGUUUGUGUUUUAUUCUGUAAAACUGCAUGUUACGUGUAAAUUAUGAAUUAUUCAUCAUUUUAAAGGUCUGUCUGUUUGAGCCCAUAGGCUAUGGUAACUUGGCCCAUGUAUUUUUUUUUUUGGUCGAGAUCGCCGGUGCAGUUGUGUUAUCGCAAAUUUUCCUUCCCAAAAUCAAAUAUUAUUUUUAAAUGAUGUGUAUAAUGUUGGUGUUCAACUGAAAUUUGUUUUCUCCAAACGGUGCUAUAUAUUUAUUGCGAAAACAUAUUGACAACACUUUUGUGAUUUGUGAUGUAUUUGUGACAUAUACAGAUUUAAACUUUAAAAUUAAUUAUAAGAAAGCCCUUUUUCCAAAAAAAAAAAAAAAACCUUAAAUUAUCUAUAUAAAAAUAUCAAAAAAAUUCUAAACAAAGAUUUUUUUUUUUUCAUUUUCUUUGGUAUAAGCUAACGAAAUAAUAAAGUUUGCGACUUACAACAGUCAACAGACAAUAGUGUCAAUAAAGGAGAUUAAACGCUUAUAAUGAAUGGUUCUUACGCCAUUUUCGAAACCCCGUGUCAUCAAAUGACUUCUCUUAACAAGAGUUACAAAAAAGUGCGACAUGGUCUCAUUGGUAUGUGUUGCGCAGUGUCUUAUCAACAUUAAAAAAAAAAAUCAAGACAUGCAUCGAGUUACCUAUAUUUUAGAAAGUCUGUCUUUUGUCGGCUCAAAGUCGUGACAAUGAAUAAGAAUAGACCAAAAGUGGCUCCCUAAGUGUUCAGGUUCAAUAAUAUAUCCCACAAUUUGCAUUCUGGAUUGAUCUGGUCUCUUGAGUUUGUAGGGGCCAAAACUAGAGAACGUGUGAGAUAUUGUCACUUCGAUUUUGAAUAAGGUUUAACAUUGCUUUCAGAUUGUUUGUAACAAUGUCAAUUCAGUUCAAAAAAAAUGUCAAACUAUUAUAUUUAACAUAACUAUACAAUUUUAUGAAACUAAAUCUGUUGUGUAUUUUAUCUAAGAUUUUAUUAAUAUAUUAUUUUCAAUAUAAAUAUUUCGUGUAGCUAUUGAUUGGGAAUGAUUCAGCAAAAAACAGGAUGUAGUUUCAUGUGUGUACGUAUGAGUAUAUUUCCGAACUCCAAACUAGUUCAUUGGCCACAAAAUAUAAUAUUUGAAAUGGAACUAAAGUUUGAAAGAUUAUGGAUUUUAGUAAUCCGAAGAUAAACCAAACAAAGUAAAGAAAAUUCAUGUAGCUUAUUUUGUUUGAAACUUUUGAUAAUUAAACUUUAAGAUAAAGUCUGAAUCAGAUAAGAUCUUCAUUUAUUUUGCUAUAAUUCGUUUUGUAUAAAAGAUUUGUUAGAAUUAGCGUCAUCAGUUGAUGAUAUAUAUUAAUGGUGUCUCCAGAUUCCAGGGUCGGUCUUAACUACUAAUUUAACGACCUAAUUAGUAAUUUGUACUUAUCUAUAUAGAUAGCUAGAUCAAUGGAGCAUAUACCAUUUUACUACAAACUGCUGGAUAUCAAGUUUGAUUAUUUGACCCCACGUACAAAGUCAUCAGCUGAUACUGAAAGAGUCAUUCAUAGUUGAAACAAACCUACACAAGAUCAGCCUACUGCCUACAGUCUACAUAAAUACUCUUAAAAAAUUUCAAAUCUUACAACUAAUGACUCUAACUGGAACUAUUAAAAAGUAAUAUUUGUUACUUAUGUUUUUUCGAAAUUGAUAAAAACUAAAUUGUUAUUAAAAUUCCUUAAAUAUAAGAAAAUGACAAGAAAAUAGGUAAAGAUAUUAUUCUUUGUAAAUGGUGUAUAUAAAAAUUCAAAUUUAGUAAUUCUGUAAAUCCAUCACUUUAUUUUUUAUCAAGUAUCUAAAUAUAUAAUUCAUUUUUUUUUAAAUUUAGCAAUAUACAAAAUUAGGAGUUAUAUAUAAUAUGACGUAGAAGUCCCAGAUCAAAAUUCACAUUAAUUCGAAUGAUGAAGAACCAGAAAUUCUUGAUAUAAAGAUAUGUUCAGUGUUCGACCAAAAGAUAUGUUCAGUGACAACCCAUACGUUUAUUCAGAGUGACAAAACCCAACUUUGAUCCUCUAAUUUCAAGAUAAAUCUUUCAGCUUAUUGGGGGUCCUAUGGGCCUUGUCGAUGUAUAUUGUUAACGUCAUUAGGUUACCAUAUUUGUGUAACAUAUAUCUUUGUAUAUAAGACAUUGCCUUGACGAGGAAUCAAAAUAAGAAACCCUUUUACAACUUCUAAGGUUCUUGACAUGGUAUCAGAGCAAUAAACCUAAAUCUAGGUUUUCUGGUUUCGAUCUACUCUAAGCCCUACUUCUCCUGAACAAUGGUUUCUACAGAAGAAUCCUUUGCCACAACGGGAACAAAGUCUCGCCAUGAAGUAACUCGGAGAACCAUAUCUCCGUAUGAUCUCACGGCAUCAGACAAUCCCGGAACAGUUAUCUCACGCCCUGCUUUGCGUGGACACAACUACGAUGAAUGGUCCGCAAGCAUACGCUUGGCUCUGAAAGCCAGAAAGAAGUUUGGUUUUGUGGAUGGAUCUAUACUCAAACCAUCUGAAGAUUCUGAAGACUAUGAAGAUUGGUGUGCCAACAACGCUCUUGUGGUGUCAUGGAUAAAAGUCACCAUCGACGAGUCUCUUUGUUCAUCGCUGUCUCACAGUGAUGACGCCUCUAACUUGUGGACGCAAAUUCAAAAGCGUUUCGCAAUGAAGAAUGGACAACGUGUUCAAAGACUUAAAACAGAGCUGGCUACUUGUAGACAACAAGGGACACCUAUUGAAACCUACUUUGGCAAACUCACAAAGUUGUGGACAAGCUUGGCUGACUAUCAACAAGCCAAGACCAUGGAAGAGAUUGCUAGAGAGCGCGAAGAAGAUAAACUGCAUCAAUUUCUUAUGGGAAUUGAUGAAUCACUUUACGGAGCCGUGAAAUCAUCACUACUGUCACGAACUCCAUUGCCGUCUCUUGAUGAAGCUUACAACGUGCUGGUUCAAGAUGAGGAAUCAAAAUCAUUGGCUCGUCUACAUGAAGACAGAGCGAGUGGUGUUAGUUUUGCCAUUCAAACGCCAAAUAAGGCUCGUUCAGAACAAGAUACACGCAGUGGACAACUUAAAUGCACACUGUGUGGUAAAAAUGGUCACUUGGCUGAGAAUUGCUUCAAGAAAAUUGGUUAUCCAGCUUGGUGGGGUGAAAGAACAAGAAACAAACCUAAUGCCUACCCAAGUUCAUCAUCUGGAAACACACCUUCUCGUGGUAAAACUACAGAAUCUGGUCGAGCAACUCAUGCGUCCAUGGAACCUUCUCAGGCUUCAGCUAACUCGCUCAUCACUUCAUCUGAUCGUAUUGGGUUCAGUGGUCUCAGCGAUCAACAGUGGCAAACCUUAGUCCACAUGCUCAAUGACCGCAAACCUCAAUCGCAGGGACAUCAUUCAGGUAUGUCUCUCAUUGACUCAUGGAUAAUAGACACGGGUGCUUCAAAUCACAUGACGGGUAGAAUUGAGUAUCUCACUGAGAUCUGUGAUAUGGCACCUAUGAUGAUCAAACUUCCGGAUGGGAGAUACACAACUUCAAAUAAACAUGGAAAAGUUUCUUUGGGAUCUUCUCUUACACUUAACAAUGUGUUUUUUGUGGAUGGUCUCCAUUGCCAUUUGAUCUCAGUCUCACACUUGACUUGGGAAAAGAGAUGUAUAUUUCAGAUUUCUGAUCGACUUUGUGUUAUCCAGGAUCGCAUCACACAGACGCUGAUUGGAGCGGGUGAGCAGCUGAAUGGGCUAUAUUUUUUCAGAGGAAUGGAUGUUGCUUCGGCAGUUUCAAAAACGGCUUCACCUACGCAGCAGUUGUGGCACAGUCGGCUGGGACAUCCUUCUUCUCAAGCUUUAGAUAUGUUGCGGUUUUCUGAUUUAAGCAAUGGUGUUUUUGAUUCUAAGACAUGUGAAGUUUGUAUUCGUGCAAAACAGACAAGAGAAUCAUUUCCUUUGAGCAGUAAUAAAACAACUAUGCCUUUUGAAUUAAUCCAUUGUGAUUUAUGGGGUCCUUACAGAACUACUUCUAUCUGUGGAUCAAAGUAUUUUCUCACCAUUCUAGACGAUUUUACUCGAGCUGUUUGGGUUUACUUACUGCCAUCGAAACAGAAUGCACCAAAACAUCUCAAAGAUUUUGUUGCUUUGGUUGAAAGACAAUUUGCGACUCAGGUUAAAACAUUGCGGAGUGACAAUGGGUCUGAGUUCAUUUGCUUAAGAGAAUUCUUCAGUGAAAAAGGUAUCAUUCAUGAGACUUCAUGCGUGGGAACUCCGCAGCAGAAUGGUAAAGUUGAACGGAAACAUCGGCAUCUCCUUAACGUCGCCCGUGCUUUGAUGUUUCAGGCCUCUCUUCCAGUUGAGUUUUGGAGCUAUUGUGCCUUAGCAGCUGGCUACUUGAUCAAUCGUACACCAACUGCAGUUCUAAAAGGCAAAACGCCUUAUGAGAUUUUGUAUAACAAGCCACCUCCGAUGCAACACCUCAAAGUAUUUGGGUGCCUCUGUUAUGUUCGUAAUCAAAAGACUGGAGGAGAUAAGUUUGUAAGUAGGACAAACAAGUCAGUGUUUCUUGGAUAUCCUUUUGGUAAAAAGGGCUGGCGUGUUUAUAAUAUUGAAACUGGCAUCAUCUCUGUCUCACGUGAUGUUAUUUUCUGUGAAAAUGAAUUCCCUCUUGCUUCAACCUCGACUGAUUCUCUCCCGGUUUCAGUGGUUCCAGUUGAGCAGUUUCAGUUUGAUAUUCUCGAUGAUCAGGAAACUUCAGUUCCAGUAACAGAAAUGAUUCCUACAGUCCCUUUACUUGCAAGCUCAGAUUCUGCUGACACAACACAAAUAUCUGAUGAUACGAGUAAUCACGACAACAAUGUUCUCCACAAUACUGAUCAUGACAAUGUGGAGCACGAGUCCACUACUCCUGCAGAUUCAGUAACUUCUUCUGAGACAUCUGUAACUUUGGACGCACCGGCUGAACCAACGGCUCUAGGUCGUGGACUUAGACACAAAAAGCCACCUACAAAAUUGGCGGACUACAUUACUACACUGCUCCACCAGCCACCUCCUUCAUCAACACCAUAUCCGAUUGAUAACUACAUCUCUAGUGCUCAAUUCUCUGAUAAGUAUCAGUACUAUCUUCUGGCAAUCACUUCUACUGCUGAGCCUAUUCAUUAUAAGGAUGCAAUUGAAGAUGAGCAUUGGCGAGAUGCUGUUACAGAUGAAAUCGUGGCUCUUGAAGACAGAGACACAUGGACAGUUGAGACCUUACCACCAGGAAAGAAAGCUCUUAGCUGUCGCUGGGUGUUUAGAUUGAAGUAUAACGCAGAUGGCACACUAGAGAGACAUAAAGCGCGACUUGUAGUAUGCGGAAAUCAUCAAACAGAAGGUAUUGACUAUACUGAAACGUUUGCACCGGUUGCCAAAAUGGUCACGGUUAGAACUUUUCUUCAACAAGCUGUCUCACUUGAUUGGGAGGUUUUUCAAAUGGAUGUACACAACGCUUUUCUCCAUGGUGAUCUUGAUGAAGAAGUCUAUAUGCAAUUUCCUCCUGGUUUCCGUACUGAUGAUAAGACAAAAGUAUGUCGUCUUCGCAAAUCGUUAUAUGGUUUAAAACAAGCACCUCGGUGCUGGUUUGCGAAACUUGAAACUGCCUUGGUCGACUACGGGUUUAAGAAGAAUGUCAAGGAUUAUUCGCUAUUUAUAUAUGAACAUGGUACUGAUCGUAUACAUGUCCUGGUCUAUGUUGAUGACCUAAUCAUUACUGGAAAUUCAAAACCAGUGAUUGAUCAGUUUAAGGAGUACCUGUGUUCAUGUUUUCGGAUGAAAGACUUAGGUAUUCUUCGAUAUUUCUUGGGUAUUGAAGUUGCGCGUAGCCCAGCUGGUAUGUAUCUCUGUCAGAGAAAAUAUUCUUUGGAUAUCAUUGCUGAAACAGGCCUUAUGGGAGCCAAGCCGGUUUCGUUUCCUCUCGAGCAAAAUCACAAACUUCUACGUGAUGAGGGUGAACCAAUGACUGAUCCGUUCCGCUAUCGUCGCUUAGUGGGUAGAUUAAUCUAUCUUGCCACAACAAGACCAGAACUAAGCUACGCUAUCCAUGUGUUAUCUCAGUUCAUGAACAAUCCGAAAGCUCCUCAUUGGGAUGCAGCUCUCAGAGUAGUUCGGUAUCUCAAGAACAGUCCAGGGCAAGGGAUUCUUCUCAAAGCAAGUACAGAGCUCACAGUCUCUGCUUGGUGUGAUUCAGAUUGGGGAGGAUGUCCUCUCUCACGCCGUUCAUUGACAGGAUGGUUUAUUCAACUAGGUGACUCUCCAAUCUCAUGGAAAACGCAGAAGCAGGACGUUGUUUCGAGGUCUUCUGCGGAGGCUGAAUACCGCGCAAUGGCUGACACAGUGAGCGAGUUACUUUGGCUUCGCGAACUUCUUCCGAGCUUGGGCAUUAAGAUCAACGGACCAAUCACUCUGCACUCUGACAGUCUUUCAGCCAUAAAUCUUGCCAAGAACCCGGUUGGUCACAAACGAACAAAGCAUGUUGGUAUGGAUUGUCAUUUUAUCCGUGAUGAGAUACUUCGUGGGAUUAUUGCUACUAAACAUGUUUCGACAAAGACACAAUUAGCUGAUAUAUUAACGAAAGCUCUUGGACGCAAGGAGUUUGAAGUUUUUCAGUCCAAGUUGGGUGUGCUUAAUCUACACACUCCAUCUUGAGAGGGGGUAUUGGGGGUCCUAUGGGCCUUGUCGAUGUAUAUUGUUAACGUCAUUAGGUUACCAUAUUUGUGUAACAUAUAUCUUUGUAUAUAAGGCAUUGCCUUGACGAGGAAUCAAAAUAAGAAACCCUUUUACAACUUCUAAGGUUCUUGACACAGCUGUUAGUUAAAAUUCAUCAUACUCUCUUUUUCCUUUUCUAAAUAAAUCGCUAAACGGUCUAAUCACUCGUGCAGCCUUAUCUAUUACAACUCAAUGGUUUUAUCAAAUAACAAUGUAAAUAUUUGAAUUAUUCCUAGACCUUAAUGUAUUAAGCGGAGACACAUCGCCGGUGUGGGUCCCGGUUUGAUCGUCACUGCCGAAAAGACAACAAGUUAAAAUAAAAGAAAAGAAAACAUGAAAGGCGCACGUGGCCACUAGAUUUUGCUCCCUGAAUCAUGAUUCUUCGAGUCACAUGAACAUCACUUUAAGAGAGUUUAACCGUUUGUUUUAACGCCAUCUGAUUUCGCUCUAUCAAUAAAGUUUUUUUUUUUGGUGUAACGCUCUAUCAAUAAAGUUAUGGCUCUAUUCAUAAAGUAUCCCUGUAUUGGUUGGAGCAUAGAGAUAGAUGUUAUGUAAAGUAUCUAUAUUUGGCGCCGUCAUUGCACGAUGUAACGUAUCUUCUUAAUUUAUUAUGCAUCCAUUCUCUUGACAUUUAUAUAAUAUAUGUGGUGAUAACCGCGGUUUGUCCCCAUUAACAGACGGCUAGCUAUUUUAAGUUUUCGGAGAUCAGCUGUGAUCGCCACAUUAGACCAGUUGUAGGUUUUUUUUUUUUGAGAAACAGACCAGUUGUAGGUUAGCCGGUAAAGUAUCUUUUUAGUUAUGUAUAUCUAACUAUGUUGUUUACGAUCUUAAUAACCGGGUCACAUAAGAGUUAUGUUCUUGUGAUUAAAAUUUUAUAUGUACCAAGGCUUUUCUCGAGUGAGGACAUGACCUUUUGAUGUCAAAAAGAAACCUUCAAACUAAAAUUGUAAGAAAAAACUAUAUCAGCCAACACACAGUAAUAAAAAUAUCGUCACAUUCAUUUUAGUACCCAGCAAAUUAUUUAACAUUAAAAGUUAUCAACAAAAGAUUUGUUAACAAAAUUAACUACAUAUUUCUUACUAGUAUAUUAAUCAUCAAAAUUGUAAACUAUAACUCGUUGGAUAAAUGAUGUCGUGUUUGAAUCAUCGAAGUUUGGAAAAAGCGCGUUCAUUUACCAAGUGAAUUGUGGUCUGUAUUUUUCAAAUAAAAGUAUAAUGUUCUUAAAAUAGGAGAUGUUUGUAAACAUUAAAUUAAGAAUAUUGAUAGAUGAUUAACAUAUAAUGUUCUUAAUAUAUUCAUCUUUAAACCUUCAACCUAAAAUUGAAUGACCUUUUGAUGUCAAGAAAGACCUUCAACCUAAAAUUGUAAGAAAAAACUAUCGACCAACACUCAGUGAUAAAAAUAUCUCACAUUCAUUUUAGUACACAACUAAAUAUUUAACACUAAAAUUAACUAUAUAGUUCUUAUAUUAUAUCAUCAAAAUCGUAAACUAUAAUUCAUUGGAAGAAUGAUGUCGUGUUUGAAUCAUCGAAGUUUGGAAAAAGCGAGUGUAUCGUUUUAUAAUUUACCAAGUGAAUUGUGGUCUGUAUUUUUCAAAUCAAAAUAUAAUAUUCUUAAAAUAGGAGAUUUUGUAAAUAUUAAAUUAAGAAUAUUGAUAGAAGAUUAAUUUGUUGCAGAUUUUAAAUUGAGAUGUUUAUAUUACAAAUAUAGUUCAGAAAUUUUAAAUAUUUGAGAAGUUUUUGUUAACACUGUAUAGUUAAAGUGUUUUCCAUCAGAGUUUUAAUUGAAAAUUCUAAAAUAGAUUUGCUGAUGUUUUCCUAUUUCUACUGGUAUUUGACAUCGGAUCUUAUAUCUAUAACAUUUGUAACUGCCUUUUAUAAGUAAAAUUUUCACUUAUUCAUUCAUAUAGUUAACUAAAAACCUAAACCAAAGAAAAUUUGCAUCGUUUUUUCUCUCUUCUACCUUUAUAACUCAUCUGAAUUUCACCUGAAUUCAUAAUAUAUAUGGUCUAGUUUUGCGAACUAGAAAAAAACGGAUCAAAAACUGUAUUACCUCACUAAACUUUUUGUUUAGAGUAUACAUGCAUUCUAUUUUAAAUUACAACAUAUAUACAAAAUUAAGUUAUUUUUAUCAGAAGUUAAAAGCUGACUAAAACUAAAUAAUGGAAUCUAGUACUAAGAGCAUCAGCAACGCUAAUACUGAUGGCUCGAUAACCCAAGUAAGUUUUUUUAAUUAUUUUAUUAUCUUUUUUUCAGUUUUUUUUUAAAAAAAGUAGUCAAUCGUGGGGGAUCCGCGCACAGUAAUGUGUCUGUCAGUAAAACGAUCCUUAACUAGAGAUUGCAAGAGACAAAAUUGGCACAGAUUCUUAAAUUAUUUGAACCCCACAAAUUAUUAUAAUAAUUUAAUUUUAAGGAUUUUUGGUUAAGAAUCAGCGUUGCUGAUGCUCUAAGGUGCCUUCUUAGGUUUUGGAAGGACAAAUAAAGUUUUGAAGGGGCAUUGUCACUUUCAUGCAUAUGCUUUACUUUUCUUAAACACUAAAAGUUAUUCUUAUCACAUUCAAAAAUGUCCUUAACAUAUUCCCAUUAAAAUAUGUUCAACAUUUUUCUUUUUUUUGUCACUAAACAUACUUAAAACUAAAGCCCAAAAGGCAAAGUCGGCCCACUAGGUGGAGGAUUACACAGAAACAGCUCUAAAGGCAUGUUUAGCCAAAGAGUCUACUCUUUCAUUGUUCUUGCAUGGAAUAUAAGAAAAAACGAUAAAAUCAAACUCAGAGGAGAUUUCUUGAAUAUCUCUGACGAUACCCACAAUUUCCUUCAUCUGUUGUUUGUUGUUGAUUGCUGCUAUGAGCGUUAAGCUGUCGGAGCAAACCCUGAGCUUUGAGAGCUUCAUUGUUGCCGCCAUACAGAGGUUUGAUCUGACUGCUAGUGCCUCCGCGAUUAGUGGGGAAUUGACGAAAUCUUGUGUUGUGUGACCUCGAUCUUGUGCUGGAUUCUGUAGCCUUGUGAAGAUCCAUGCGAGUUCCGCCUUUCGCUGUCCUUUGUCCCACGCCGCAUCAGUUCUGCAUUUUUCAUUAUAAAGCAUUUCCCACCAAACAAUAAUUUUGUAUUCACCAAAAAAAUAUCUAUAAUUCCCACUCUCAUAAAAAUGUAAGUUCUCCUGCAGUUCUCAAUUAAAAUAGUAUUUGCAUAUUUCUGUAAACGUGGUAUAUUACCAUGAAUUUACUGCAAAUUAAAAAAUUAGAGAAUAGUGAAUAUAUAUUUUAGUCAGUAAUUUUCUAAUGGAUAUUAUAAAUCCAAUAUGAUAAAUCCUAUAUAAGAUUAUAUAUUUCAUGCAGAAAUAAAUUAAUUUAGUAUAAAAUAAUGGCUAUGAAAAAAUAAGGGUAAAACAAAAAUUCAGCUAUUUCAAUAGCCAAUAAUCAAGUAAAACAUAUGUGUUGUGGAGUUCAUUUUUUAUCUUUCCGCUAGUUGAAAGAAUUCAACUAUCAACAAUUCAUGUAGUAUUUUUUUUCCUUUUUCAACAGCUUCACUGGAAGCAUUCAAUAGUUGAAAAAAUAAUAAUAAUUCAAAAAGCUCUUUGUAAAUGCUGUAAGAGAAUAGUCAAAUAGAAUGUAAGGGUAUCAAAUUUACUGACUUGUAAUCUAGUCACGCAGCUAUAUUGGCUUUUCUCCAGCACCAUCUUAAACUAUUUUAUGAUUGUUGACAUAAUUCUUCUCGGAUAAUUCUGUUGUGUUACAUUAAAAUAAUCCACACAUACUUUUGUCGCCGUUACUUUAUCUUUAUCAGUUACAUAAUUAAUGUUUAUAACCGAAUAAAAGUGAAAGUGGAUAAACUUUGUUGCGACCUACUGAGCAUGUGAAUAUAAGAACAAGUCCAUUGGUUAUAAUGAAUAAAUUAUUAGUUAAUUUUGUGAUUCGAAAGAAUUUAGAAUCUUUGCUAGUCUAAUUAAUUUUUUCAUCGUCCAAUGGGAGAACUUCAUUGAGAUUCUUAAUUUUUUUUUUGUAAGUUGAAUUAUUGGAUUUCAUAACAUGAAAAAAAACCAUACAUAAAAAUUCAAAUAAAAAUGACAUAAAAGCAUAUUAAAAAUACAAAUGUAAAUCGUAAACGAAAAAAAACCGAUUAGUUGAAAUCUUGAUUUGUUCCAAAUUUUUACCAUAUAUUCUUAACCAAAUCAGCUUUCAAUUGUUGAUGUAUUGUUUUAUCACGAGCUCUAUUUCGAAUGUUCAUCAUAUUGUUGAUCGAAAAUUUGGUCAAAUUUUUCAUCCAUUUCUUCGAAAUUAUUAGAAGAAGAAGAUGCCAUUUAGAAAAUGUUAGGAAAGAAAUGUGAAAAAAGAUGUGAAGAAACAAAAUCUUAAAGCUUUGGAGAAAAAUAAAAAGAAGCAACAAUGUUAGAUAGUAGAACAAAUUAUUGAGAAAACAUGAAGCUUUGCAUUUGCUAUUACUCUCUCUCGUGUUGUUGUUGUUUUUAUUGCUCGGUACAACUUAUAAAGAAAACAUGAAAGUUCAGUACAACUUAUAAAGAAAACAUGAAACAUAUCACACAAGUUGUCUACUCACAAGAGAUACACAAUACAACAACUUACUGUCUUCCACCUGCAAUAAAAACAAAGAGAGCAAAAGAAACAUCAGACCACCACAGACCAAGAGAACACGAGAUACACAAAACAACAUCUGAUUUCUCCUUGGGUAUUGAUAACUUGAGGUGCGCCAGAUAUCUAGCAGCUUCUUUGUAAGAUCAAAAUGGCUUGCCAGAUCUGCUUGAACACCAGUGGUCUUGAAGCCUGACUUAUGCCAAUGCAUAAAUUAUGAAUAUAUAGAAAAAACAGCAAAAAUAUUUAAUCAGUACAAGAGGACUUCGAAAUCUUCAAACUUGCUACUGCAAGCACAUCUACAUUCACAUAUUUCUUUUAUGAUCUAACCCAGUUCACUACUUAGCCACUGUCGAAAUGAUGAGAAUGAAAACCAAAAACUGAAAAACCAGAUAUACAUAAAUACAAGCAGCAAUAUCUUCGUAACCUUUAAUCGCUCGAUUUCGAGAUCUUUCUCGCUAUCAUAUCGACAAGUCGAAAAGCUCGGAGAGAUUGGUCUAACAGAAGCCACCGAGUAAUCCGUUACCGCACCUCCAGCGCAUGGGCACAUAAAUUGAUACCUACUCCUCAGAAUUUGGGCAUCUCGUAAGUCCUCGCUUCUUGGUCUGCCCUGAAACCGCCUGCUGUUUGAGAGAGCACUCUCUAAGAAGAGAAGUUUGCGAAAGGAUCACGAACUGGAGUUUUAUGCCGUUGUUGUCCCGUGGAAUGUAGCUCCACACUGUCCGACGCCGGAGCCGGAGGCGGUACAAUCGGUGGAGCAGGCGGAGGUACCUGAGUAGAGAGAAGAAUCUCUUCGGCUUUGAAGGCUACGUCGAGAAAAUCCUUGUCCCAACCCCCAAGUUCGUCCUCUUCAUCCAUCUCUCAAUAAACCAAUAAUCGUAACCCGAUCGGAUCAAACUUCAUCUCCGUUGGAGAUCUGACAGAAUCAACGAAGUCAUUGAGAGAAAACCGCCGAAGGGACUUCCACUAUAUCGAAGAAGAGAGAGACCCGUCCGCAAAAGAAGAGACAAUUUUUUUCCCUUUCGUAUGAAAGGAACAAACCAAAACGCAGCCGCCACGUAUGGCUUUUUUACCAAUCCUAAUUCCUCGUAAUUAAGUAGCGGUUCCCUGUUAUUAUAGCAUUUUUGAUUUAAUUUUUUCCCCUUUUUCCUUAAGAGCUUCUUCCUAAACCUUCCGAUGGAGCUGGUCUAAGUCGGUUCGACAUAAUAUUCCAUGCGGACAAUACGUAUAUUUGUCGACCUUUUGACCUUCAAUUAUUAUAGUAUAUCAUUUGUUUUACUUCCAAAUUAACUUUUAUUUUUUCGUUUUAGUAAAAGGAAGCUAAAACAUUUUUAUAUUUCCAUAAGUAAACUACAAGAAUGCAUAGAAACACCAAAAUUAGUUGGCAGAAAAGUUUCAUUAUUAGAAAUUCAUUCAGUACACCAACUGAGUCGGACUCAAUAAAUAUUUUAUUUAGCAAAUUGCCCCUUAGGUCCAUAGCUUAUAUUACAUUGAUGAAACAUGAAAAUAAAAGGUUACAACACCAUAUACAUGUUUUUUUAACAACCAUAUAAUGUGUUGGACACGAACAGAGAUCCAGGGCCGGCUAAUAUAGGGGGUGAGCGGUGCAACCGCACCGGGCUCAAUCCGUUGUCCCCCUAUUUUUUAAUAGAUAAGAGUCUGAUUUUUUUAAAAAUAUAUAUGUAUUUUAAUAUUAAAAAUAAGAAAAGGGGUUCAAAUGUUUUUAUAUGAAAGUAUUUUUUUUAUUUUCAUAGAUUUAUUUUUGAAAAUACUUUUGGUAUUUUUAAAAAAAUAUAUUUAUUAGAUUUUCUAAAGAAAAAUAAUAGUUUAAAAAUUAAAUUUUUUUUUUUUGCCUCAGGGCCCAUAAUAGCAUUAAGCCGGUCCUGCAGAUAUCAAAUGGGUUUUAGAUAAUUUGUCGGCCAUGUUAACUAAAAGAAAAAUAACACCUCCCACAUUUUGUCACUUGUAUUCUUUUACGACGUGAUCCGGCAGAAUAAAUGUUUCUUAACUCUUUUACAUGGCUUUUUGCUGUUCAACGUAUAGUCUCUAUUAUGAGAACUUAUCAGCAAUUUCAGAUAUUCAUAUCCACGCAUAUGUGAGGAAAUCUACAACACGAUAGUAAGAGAAGAAGACCAUCUUGCUUCUGCUCGAGGUCGUGAUCAACAAGAAGCAGUUAGGUUUCUUGUUUGCCGUGAUAACCAAACAGUGUAUGUUGAGGGUACUCGUCAUUUACAACAAACUGUCUCUGAAACGCAACAUAGAACGGAGAACAUGAUUCUUAGGCGUUGUAUGCUCUGCUCUAACUCUGGAAGAAUGGGUCAUAUGAUAAAUGUAACGUAAUAAACACUCAAUUUUUUUGUUUUCCAAAUAGCAUUACCUAAGGGUAACUUGAUUGAAUUAUAAACUUUAAGGUAAUAUUAUUUAUGCUUACACAGACGAUUAACGGAAUUCGUCAAUAUUUUUAAAAAAAAUAUUUUAAGUGUUUUUGAAGAAUUUCCGACUAAUUAUUUUCCCCCUUAAAUCAUUCCAAAUUAUGUAAAUUUUCAUUUUAAUAGAGAUUUGUAGACUGAAACUUUGUUAGGUUGUUGGUUUAAGUGACUUGGAAGUUAGUUUUAGAGAUUUCAAAUUUAGAUUUAAGAUUGAAUUGUAGUUUAAGAUUUUUGUUGCUUGUGUUUGAUUUUGUUAGUUCUACGAGGAAUAUUUAUUGUUAGUGUAAAUAUUUAUUAAUUUUCGAUUUUUUUAUUUAUCAAAUUUUAAAAACGUUUUUCAAUAUAAUGAUUUUGUAUAUUUUCUAUUAAUUAUAGUAUUUUAAAAUUAUUUUUCCAAACGUUUUACUAUAUAUAAAUGUUUACUUUAUAAAAAGAACUUAUUAUGUAUAAAAAUGAUUAAACUAUUUUUUAUAAUUUUCUACAAGUUAGUAAUAAUAUAUUAGAAACUUUUUUAUUUUUUAAGUAUAUUUUUAUAUUUUAAAAGCUUUUAUUGCUAAGUUUACCAGUUAGCAAUUGUAUAUUUUAAAAUUGCUAAGUUUACCAGUUAGCAAUUGUAUAUUUUGAAGAAUUCCCAACUAAUUUUUUUUUCCGACGCUCUAAUCCUGAAAUGUUCUCCGUCCAAAACCGGCAGUUUCUUGUAAUAUCUGGAUUAGUUGACAUUUUUAUAUUAUCCUGGUGAACCGUAUGUCGUACAUUUAUUAGUUCUAUGUUAACCAUACGUAUAUCGGUACAUGUAAAGUAAAUUCCUAAUGGCCCUUGAAAUAUAGAUUCUCAUUCCAUUUAUUGUUACAUCAGCUCAAUAACCCAAAAAAUUAUCGUAAUUAGUGUCUUUUGUGUGUGCGUGCAUGAGUUUUAUAAUCCAAAAAUUUUGAGUCGGAUUUGGCUUUCAUUUUAUUGUGGAUCCCAUCGUGUUCUCUCCACUGACCCAACCUACUCAGUCCUUAACAUGUUCUCAUAUUUUGUGUCUCUCAUUAUCUAUAAAUAGUAAUAUCUCAUUGCAACAAGUCAUCAUACUCUCUCUCAAGUCUCAACUUCAACUCAUUGCAAUUUCUCUCUUUCUCUUCUCUUUCUCUUUCUCUUUCUCUUUCUCUUUCUCUUUCACAAUCUCUUACAAACCCCACAAGCUACCUUCCUUCUCCUUAAUCACCUGUUAUGGCGAAUUUAAUCCUUAAGCGAACUCUUAUCAUGCUCCUAAUCAUAUUUUCAUCACCAAUCUCUCAGGCUCGAAUCCUUCGGACAGAUCGCGUCGCAAACAUGGGAAAUAUAGAUAGUCAGGUUCUCCUACGUGAGCUCGGGUUUGAUCUCUCCAAGUUCAAAGGUUAUAACGAGAGGAGGUUUUUAGUGGAUUCGGACAGGGUUUCACCGGGAGGACCGGACCCGCAACAUCAUUGAAUGGUCGUUACGGAAAUGAUACUUUAACGGAGAUCCAAGCACAAAUAAUUGUGACUGGUCUAUGCAAGUCAUUGGAUAUCACUACUUAUAUGUUUUUUUCUCUUCUUAACUUCAUAAAUCUUACGUUCAGUUUUGUUGUAUCAAGGUAAUAGUAUUCUUGUACCUAGCUCCUUACAAUACAUCAAACUUUUUUCCCUGUAUGUUUUCUUGUGUCUACAAUGAGUUACAUUUUAUGUAACUACAAUUGGCUUAUAAAGAAUGUUCCCCGAUCUUUUCUCGUUUGAGUUUUACUUUUUCAUUUAUAGGGAAAAACGAAAGGUAGAUAAGUUUUAGAAUAAUAAUGAUUUUAAUUAGCACUUCGAAAUGCGUAUGAUCAAAAUAAUACUUUUAAUGAUUUGAUGGUCAAACUAUUCAUUUUAAAAAAAUUAAUAUAUUAACAAAACUGCUAUAACCAGUGUAAGGAAAAUUUUGUAAGCUUACUCAAAUGAUAUAUGUGAUAUUAAUGAUUCAAGAGAAACGCCGGAAAAUUAUGUAUUCAUUGAUUUAAUAGCAUAUCUAAUGUAAAAUAUUUUUUUUUCUAAAAUAGAAUUAUAUAGGGAACGACUUUGCUCCAAAACUCUACUCUAUUUUGGAAUAGAAAAUAAAGUAACGAACAAACAAAAAAAUGCAUGUUCUAUUUAUGUAGUAAACAUAUCUUUUAUUUCAUUAUGUAGUAGAAAAUAAAGUGCAGUAGAGGUUUUUUUUAUCCCAAAUUCUAUUUAAAAAAACAAAUAUAAAGUGAGACUGAAAAUGCUUUAAAAGGCUUUAUAAGAGCAUGUAGCCAACUAUUUGUAGCCAACUAUUUGUAUUACAUUAUUUUAAUCCUACUAUAUAAUGUCGAGAUUUGAGUUUUACAUACUGGAUACACUGGAUACAUUCCUUUAGCUAAUGUGAAAUUUAUUUUGUGAAUACAUAUUUUAAGGUUUCACGAAUGAAUGUUUGCGUAUAAGAAAUGCUGUCAUCAACUACGUAUUUCUAUUUGUAUAAAGUAACCGAUAAUAAACAAGACUAUUACAUUACGGAAACAGUUUGGUGCACUCUUAAAAAAUAGAGUUUCGCCGACAUCAACUACAGUGUUGGAAAUUUUGAGAGGUUCAAAUUGUAAAACACUAUGAACUUAAUAAAUUGACAUAUGCUCUAACAAAAAUAUUAUUCUCGACGCGCGCAUAUAUGUAUUAUGUUGACUUCAUUUAAACGUACUUAUUUAUCAAUUGAUGAUAUAUAUUCUCGACUAGACAUCCUCGACUUGACAUUCUCAUAUCAGUCGAGGAACUUACUUUCUCACCCGUUGAAACCUUGGAAUAUUAAUGCUUCAUGACCUAUAUAUGACGACAAGAAUGGUAAGUAACAAUCUGGGUUUAUAAGUUCAAAAAUUUAAGGUGAAUGUAUCGAAUAUAUUUAAAAAGUUGAUUUUUGAACUACUAAACUUCAAAAAUGUCUUCGUAGUCUAGUGGUUCAUUUAGGAGGAAAAGAAUUUGAUGCAGACAAUCUGGGUUCGAAUUCUCUUAAUACCGGCCACAUUUUUUUCUCAAAACAAAAAAAGAUUUGUCAAAACUUCCAGCUAAUCUUAAUAUAUAUUUACACAUAAACAAACUUUCAGCUUACAUAAAAAAUAUAAUGAAUGUUAAACAUAUAUAUCAAAAUAAUAUAUUUUGUAUUUUAGAAAAUAAAAUCUUUCUCUUCUCUGUUAAAAGAAAAGUACCAUUUUUAUCUACUAGGCAAAAGUCAUAGUAGGACCAUCAAAUUAAACUUUUUAAACCUUUCAUUUAAUAACCAUUUGGUAACAUAACAUUUAAAAAAACAUUUACAUUUAUCUUAUUCACGGAUGUUUUAAACUCUUGGCUAAGUAGUGGAAUCUCUUUUAUCUUUAUAUUAUUAAGUACAACAUGUAAACCAACGCGGUUGGCCUAGUGAUAGUUGAAGAAGAAAAUCCAAUACGCUCCCUGCAGGUUCGACUCGCGUUGGCCAUCCGGGCCCUCCCUGCUAAUUCCUGGGGAGGAAAUUACAUGGCUGUUGCGGGCUUCGUGGGAUUAGUCGGUUGACCUCGGUCGCCGGAUCCCCACGGUUAACAAAAAAAAAAAAAAAAACAGUAUUUUUUUUCAUACCAUCAAAGAGAUAGAGUACAAAACAUAAGAAAAUUCAUAUUGACAUACAGUAUUUUUUUUCAUACCAUCAAAUAGAUAGAUUACAAAACAUAAGAAAAUUCAUAUUGACAUACAGUAUUUUUUUUCAUACCAUCAAAGAGAUAGAGUACAAAACAUAAGAAAAUUCAUAUUGACAUACAGAAUUUUUCUCAUAACAUCAAAAAGAUAGAUUGCAAAACAUAAGAAAGUUCAAAAAAUUAUCAUUUUAGAUAUUUAUCCUCUACCCAGCCACCAUGUUCAUCACAACAACAUAAUAAAAAUCUGUGAAGAACACAAUUGAUUGAACUCAUUAUCUUAGACCAAAACCCAGUGCAAUUAAUCGUAUACAUAACCUAUAAACACAUAUACACAUAUUUUCGUAUAUAUAAGUUAAAAAAAUUUCAUAAAAAUAUUUAUUUUAUUUGUGAAAACAUUUUGUAUAUAUUUGAAUUUCUAAUACCGCAUUUUACAGAAUAUACUAAAGCAUAAUUAAAUGUUCUGAGAUCCUAACCUUUAAGAUGAUUAUAUUUAAAUUUUUUUUUAGAUUAUAUAAGGUAAAACAACAUUAGUUAAUCAUCCUAAGAUCUCUCUUCCCUAACUAUCAUAAAAUCACGUAAUACAUUUUGAAAUGAUUAGAUCUGAUAUUUGUUAUACAAAUCACGUCAUACAAAUCUCAUUAUCUAACUCACAAAGAUAUUUAUCAUUUAGUUACCUAAUAUCUAGGUACCCAAAAAAUCUAAUAACCACUAUAUAUACUGAACAAGUAUCGACUGUUUUUCACAACUAAACCACUUCGAAAUGUCUUCAAACAAGAGCGUAACCUUGGUCAAGAAUGUCAAACCAUACAAAACUGGUUGGUGUAUCCAGGUUAAGUUGCUUCAUUCUUGGAAACAACAUACCAGUUAUGGUGGUCGUUCUCUAACUGAUCUUAGGAGAUGAAACGGUGACUAAAAUUUUCUAUUUCUAAUGUACUAUAUCGUUUUAUUUAAUAUAUAAGAUUAACGACAUCAGUUUUUUUCUUAUUUUUAGGGUACUAAGAUUCAUUGCUCAUGCAAGAAUGAUCACAUGUUUCGUGUUGAACGUGAUUUGCCUUUGGGAGUAUGGCGUUUAAUUACAAACUUUUCGCUCUCAAAUGCAACUGGUCAAUACCGACCAACCAACCAGGCUUACAAGAUGUCUAUUAUAGGCGACAGUAAGAUUAAGGAUUCAGAUUUCCAUUGCGAUGAUAUGUUCUUCUCUUUUGCAAGUUUUGAAGAUGUUGGUAAUGGGAGUAUUAAAUCACACUUUUUGAUCGGUUAAGUUUAUCUUACAAUCUAUAUUUUACAUUGCAAUGAUGUUUUAAGUAUAAGGUACCAACAUUUUUUUCCUUUCGUGACUAAUUGCAGAAGUAAUCGGUCAAGUUGAGAGCCUUAAAGACGUUCAAACUGUUCAAGUUAAGCAAAAAGACAGGAAAAAAGUUGAAUUUCGUCUACGUGACACCAAGUAAUUUGUUUUUUGUACACUGUAGCUUAUCUUUAAUUUAUGUUAUAUUUAUGUUUUUUCAACACCUUAACUGUAUUAGGGGUGAGCCUAUUGCAUGUUGUCUGUGGGGAAAAUAUGCAGAACAAAUUGAAUCUCAUGUUCAAGAAGCAAAUGACCCAAAUAUGAUUUUGGUUAUAAGAUUUGCAAAGAUCGGAUUUUAUCAAGGUAAUACAAAUAAUUUAAAAUGAAAAUGAAACUCUCAAGGAUUGAAUUUAUCUUCUCAAAUACUCUUAAUAAUACUAUUUGUUUUCUUCUUUAUAGGAGAAGUUCAAAUUACCAACGCAUUUGAUGCAUCCUUGGUUCUGAUCAAUCCGGAUUUGCCUGAAGUCAUUGACUUUCAAAAGCAUGUAAGUAAGUCUAUGUUUCUAUAUUUAUAUGAAAAACAUUGAGUCGUGACCAAUAAUUAUAUUGUUUUGACUUAGGUUGCCACAAAAUGAUACUGCAAUUACUCUUUUCAAUCAAAAUUCAAACAGUAAGGCAAUCAAGGCGUGGACUGGAAAGAAGUUGAUGUCAAAUCAAUCUCAGAAAUAUUGGUGGCCAUGAAGGUAUAACUAUUUCUACAUUUAUAUAUUUUUAAACCAUUUACGUUACCUAUUUUAAUCUUGAACUAAUUAUGUUUGUACAGAUUGAAAGCUGCAAAAUCAUUGUUUCUAUUGAAACAAUAGAUACAGAUUGGGGCUGGUUCUAUUUUGGUCAUGACAGGUGUAACAAACGUGCCAAGCAAAUUGUUAGGGAUGAUUCAACAAAUUUGACAGUUGCAGAUAAACCUUUAUGGUAUUGUAAACGUUGCCGUUGUAAUGUCACAAAUGUGUCUCCAAAGUAAGUUUACCCAUGGAUUGAGUUUCAUUUCUGUGAAUGUAUUUGUGAAUAAUAUUUUACGGGAAAAUCAACUAAAUCUAAUAUGUGAGUUUUUAUGUUGUACAGAUACAAACUGCAUAUUGUUGUGCAAGACGACUCAGGUACAUGCAAGUUAAUGUUGCUGGAUACUGAAGCUCAGGCCAUAAUCGGCUGCAAAUCUGUUGAGCUAUGGGAUGGGUCAUAUGAUGAGGUACUGCCGAACCAUGCUUAACAUUAUUAUAUGAUUUACAUAUCAUACUUAUUGUUUCUGCUAAACUUUGUUUCUUUGACUAACUAUGUUCUUAUUAUUUACUUAACCCAGAUUGAAGAUCCAGAAGUUUUGCCAGGACCAAUCAAAGAAUUAGUUGGCCAAUCUUUCUGUUUUGGAGUUGCUUUGGAAAAUGAUAACGUGACCAACGGUUCUGAUAUAUUUGUGGUCUCUGAAAUCUGGUCUGGAGAUAAACUUCUCAAAGCAGAAUCACAUUCUGUUGUCAGCAGAGAAUCCUCCAUGAUCUCUGGUGGCGAGGUUAAUGGCUUAUAUAUCAAUUUUAUAAUAUUUAUUUGUAUAUAUUUUAUUUCUUAACAUGGAAUUUGUGUGCACUUUCAUUAUUUUAGGUUUCUAAGUCGGAUCCAAACAGUCAAACAACUUUUGAAAGUUGUUCAACCCCGUUCUCCAAACGCAAAGAUGGUGAUCUACCUGACAUGUCCUCAUCGUCAAAGAAACUGUGCACCAAGAUUGUCAAGGUGGAGAAAUCGAAAAAGGAUUAGUUUGGGAUGGUUCUAAGUGAUGAAGUUCGGUGGGUAUGGAUGCAGUGUUCUGGAGUAAUUUGAUUUUUUUCUAUAUCUAAUCUAUUAAAACAUAGUCCUAAUUUUUAUCUACUUAAAAAUGUUGUCAUUAACUUUUGGACCUAUUCACAUCUCACUAAAGAUGAAUGUAACAUCCCUUAAUUUUUGGACUUAUUUUUAUUUCCAAUAUUUUUGUUAGUAACUACUCUAUAUCUGCUGAAGUUUAUUAGUAUACUAAUUAAAUAUAGUAACUACAAUUGAUAUAUGUAGAAAAGAUAUUUCUAUUCACAAAACUGCACUUGUUUAUCUAGGAAUAUGCAAGAUCGGGAGCUAUUUUCUAAACUUUAUUGAUAUACUAUAUAUACUAAUGAUCUUAUGUUUACGGAGAAUGAUUAAUAUGUUUAAAAAUAUUUAUAUACACUAAAUUGUACUUAUAUCAUAAAGGAAUAUAACAUCACGAAACAUCUUUACAAAUUAUUUAUCUAUACUUUGUUAGUAAGAUACUUUCACCUUUUUCAAGAUAUAAAAGUGUCGAUAAUGAAAGUUUUUUUAAAAAAUAUUCACAUAAUCAAAACAAUACUAUAAGUUCUAUUUAUUUUAGAAUCUAAUCUACUAAUUUAGGGUUCUAUUUUUUUAUCUACUUACAAAUAAUCUAGGUUGGACAAUUACAUUUAACUAGCUUUACUAUUAUUUUUACUUAUAUCUAAUUUAAUUAUCAUUAAAUAUAUGUAUACCCUAACCUAAAAUUAAGGAACGAAAUAAUUAAUCUAUUGUUUUUUAAACAACGAAUUCAAUUUAUAUUAACACUACUUUUAAGUAGAUAAUCAAUUAUAUUUUAUUUAUUAAUAUAAAAAGAAUUAUAUAUGCCUACUAACUCAUAUAUACAAUUUUACUUUAAUUCAAAUGCAAGAAACAAAUUAUUUAAAACUCAGACCAAAUACAUAAUAAUAUAAUUCUUAUAGAUAGAGUAUUAAAAUUAGAUAUAUAUAUAUAUAUAUAUGAUAAAAUGAAUAAUAAUAGUUAUUAAUAUUUAAUGAUAUGGUGGAACAUGUUAUUAUUGAUAUUUUUUUAUGAGCGUAGUUUUACGGGUUGUUCCAACAAACAUAAACAAUAUUUGUCAAAUAACAUAAAACAUACUUUAUGUUAGGCUCGGGCCUUGGGUACAGGUUGGGUAUUUGAAAUUUUGGUUCAAACUUAUAUCACAUCCUAUGUCUCAUUCUGGUAAAUUUAUAAGUACAGAUCGAGUUUGGAUAUAAGACACUGGUUUUGCUUCUAAUUUGUAUCACAUCAUAAAAUCCAUAAAGUAACCAGAUAUUGUUUCAAUUCAGGUUAUAUUAGUUCAGUUCGGAUAUAUCCGAAGUUAAUUCCAAAAUUUUAAAGCAAAACAUAAGAAAUAAACUUAUUUAUAUAGAAUUAGAUAUUUAAGGUACUUAUUGAAAAUUUAAAUACUAAUUUAUGAUAUAAUUUCAUAAUAAAUAUAGAACUGAAUAUUUGAAGUAUAUAUUUAUGUUUUAAGUAUUUAUAUUUGUGAUUAAUUUGGACUUUCAUAUCGUUUUUUGGAUUUUUUAUGUUUUUGUUUUGUUUUUUCGGGUUGCCCGUUCGGAUUCGGCUAAUAACACUUCGGGUUCAGAUAUAUGAUGUACCAUCCCACAAGACCAAUUCUGGGAUUUCUUACAUUUCGUAUUUGGUGUGGAUCGGGUUUUUUUGGUUUAAGUUCGGUACGGAUUUUGGGUUACGGAUAUUAUGCUUAGACCUAUUUUCAAUAAAGAAAAAUACGAUUAUAUAAAGUUUUUACCAAAAUAUUACCCCGCGCUAAAGCGCGGGUCAAAAUCUUGUUUUAAAGAUUAUUAAACAAGAAAAUUUAGAAUAUGAAUAUUAAUAAUAACAGUUAAUCCUAAUAAUUUUAUUUUGUUGAAGAUAUUUGUCUAAUAAAUUCCUGAAAAAUUAACAAACGACACAUACAAAAUUUACUUACAUAAUAUUAUAGAUUUUUUUUUUUGAAAGAAUGUUAAUUUUAUUCAAAUCAAAAUGGCUUUUGUACAAACUAAUGCAACUAAGAUCUAGUUUGUGAAAAUUUUGAAGCCAAAAACAGCACUAAUGUCUAUUCUCUAGUUUCAAACCAAAAACCAUAAUAUUAUGUAUUUGUUUUGUUAUGCCAGCAUUUUAAAACCGGACAAUGAAACGCUUGUUAGAAAUCUUAAGGUUUUAUGACAUAAUUGUUGAAGGUAUGUUUCACUCUUGGGAAAGCAUAUUGGAAAUUAUCGUUCUUUCAGAAAAUGGGCCUGCCUGAUACUUGCCAUUCUUUAAAUUGAAUGCAUCUGAAAAUAUAAAAUAGGCCUUGCUUACGUUGCUUCCAGGGCAACAUGAUUGUUUAUCCAAUUAGUAAACGUACAAUAACCCACAAGUCUACAACAACGAUACUCACUAGCACAAGCUUGUUUAUUGUUAGAACCUACUGUUCUAACUCAGGCUGUGCUGCACAACAUUGUGUUUGUGGAGACAUGGAUUUUUGAAUCUCCUCAAUAAACUCAUAAACACCCACCAAAACUUUGAAGGUUAUAAAUACGACUCUAUGGGGUUGUAAUUUAUUCACCCACACAAUGCAUGUCCUUGUUGCUUGUGCGUAACUAUACUAGUAGAGAUCGUAUUAGGGUUGAUCAAAGCUCCAAUUCAUGUUAUGGAGUGAUUCACAUCCACGAUACCUUGUUGAUCUUCUUCUUCCUCUUUUUCCAUGUACAUAAAUAAUCAACUUCUCUCGAUUUGGUGCUUCAGAUGUUAUUUGUUUGAGAAUACGUAACAUUUUCUUGUUCUUUUACUGCUUCAAAAGGAUUUCGUGAAUGUUAAUUAAACAUGUAUUAUAGAUAUAUUCAUAGUAAUUCGCAUUCGUCCUUUUUUUCUUCUUGAUCAUUCUUUGCCAUAUCUCCAUUAAGAAUCCAUGUCCCAUCAUCCGCUUGAACCAUACCUCUGUUCUCAACAACCCACCAAUGACUAGGCACUAAGUACUUAUCUUGAAGAGCAUCUAAUUCCUUGUUGACCAGCGCGAUAUCACGGUUAAUCUCAAGCUUGAACUCCGCUUGGUUGUGUUGUGUCCCCGCCACGCCGUGCAAGUAAGCCUCUAGGUUAUGGAAAUGCGCCAAGUUUAGAGACCGUUUCAGAUACUCUGAUUUCAACGUGUUGAUCUCAAGCUCCUCCCCUACAUCUCUGAACCUGAACACCGGGUAAUGCGGAAUGAGAUCCGGGACAUUUGUUAUUCUCAAGAUGUUGAGUUUUUUUAGAGACUCGACCAGUCUUCUGAAGUUAAGGUCACCGAUGCGGGGACUGCCGAAAGCAAAAACCGUGACACAAGAAAGCCUGUCUCCAAGACUUGUUGUGGUCUUAGGCCAUUCGUUAUGGAGAAAGUCUGUGGCUGAUAAAAUAGAUAGAACUGCGCCCAAGCUAUGGCCUGUAAAGGUGAUACUAACUUCUUCAUGUUUGUACAAUUCUAGUAACCUUUUGAGCUCUCCUUGAACCUAAAAAUCAAAAAAAAAACAAGCCAGUGGGACGAGAAGUAAUAUUUUCAGACACCAACCAGUCACAGCAAUCCCAAAGUCUGAAUGUGAAGUUAGUAAGGGAAAAUGUUUUCGAGAGACACCUGUUCUUGUGCACUGGUCUUGUCAAAACGUGAGUGUGUAUUAGAGGUUGUGUAAAGAGACAGCCAACCAUUGGCAAUGCGAGGAGGGUCAUUUGGAUCAUUCGGGUCAGUACUAGGGAAAACCGAGGUAGCUAAUUCAAGUGGGAAAUCAAAAUCGUUAGCCCAUUCGUACAACUGCAUUGUCCCUCGCCAUGCUACAACAAUGUCUCUUCUCCCUAACAACUCCUUGCCUUCGUCUGUAGCCACCGCAG